CAGGCAUGUCCUAGGAUGAACAAUCCUUUUUUUUUACAAUGGUUUUCCAGCACCAGCUUGUUUGGCAUGUGACACCUUGAGCUGGCUGUAACCGAGAGCAAUGCUAGUGGAAGGGAGUCAAUCUACGUCCAUAGGUCAUAAGGAGACUCGUGUUAAAAGCGGUCAGACUUUGGCUCCCUGUGCGUCGUGACGCAACUAAAUCGAUGCAAUCAGACGUGUGAGCGCGCGGCUGAUGCCCGAGCUAUAACCAGCCGGAUGAAAAAAAGUGUUUUCCAAAAUUCUUGCAGUUGGGCCGGCGAACCCCAUAAUCCCGUAAUGGCCUCCCCUAAGAUUGUUCGUAAUGAGAGUAUCAUAGGUAGUAUCAUGCAUGUCAACUAGACAAUUUUGAUGAGGUGAUAUAUAAUUAAAUGAAGAAAAAAAGAUUGAGUACUCCCUCCGUUCCGGUGUGUUAGGCCUUUUAUGAAACGCAGCACGACCAAGGUGGUUUUUCAUUGGCUAAGUGAUCUGCUCAUUUCCUCCAAUCAACAUUUAGUUGGUAUUAAUUAUGGCAAGUGAAGAGACGUCCAGGCCCACAGCAUGCAUGCAUGCGCUUAGAUAUGGCGCUAAUUCCUCCUCCCUCCUCCCUCCAAAACAUGCCGCUAAUUCCUCCUCCCUCCAAAAUUUCCUGUAUGCAUGCAUGCGCGCUCAGAUAUGGCGCUAAUUCCUCCUCCCUCCUCCCUGCAAAACACGCCGCUAAUUCCUCCUCCCUCCAAACUUUCCAAACAUAGCGCCAACUUUCCAAAAUUUGAGCGAAAACAUUGCGCCAAGUUUCGUCCUUAAGUAGGAGUACUCCGAUUCAUCUCUUCUCUCCAUGUGCUCCAUCAAUGGCGUCAGACCAAGAAAGUGGUGCGCGGCGGCCUCCGCCACUAGGUUUAGUAGGGCUACGGAUAACACCGUUUGAGCCGCCGCUCCGGCAGAGAGUUGUGCCGCUGUCCGUCGUGCCGCCGGCUGUGCCCGUACGUCGUGUCGGGCUUACGCGGCCGCAUGGUUCGUCCCUCGUUGGCGGGAUCGACAGCAUGUUCGCGACCGGCGUUGGGACAGCGAGCGGGAGCGACGGCGGGACAACUAGUGGGAGCGGCGGCGGGAUAGCAAACCAGAGGGCGCAGCAAGUCUGCAGCGAGCAGCAGUUCGUCGUGCCGCCGUCUGUGCCCGUACGUCGUGUCGGGCUUAUGCGGUCGCAUGGUUCCUCCCUCGUUGGCGGGAUUGGCAGCAUGUUCGCCACCGGCGUUGGGACAGCGAGCGGGAGCGACGGCAGGAUAGCAAGCCAGAGGGCGCAACAGGUCUGCAACGAGGAGCAGUUCGGCAGGAGCGGGAGCGUCUUCGCGAGCGGCGCCGGGACAUCGAGCGGGAGCGCCAACGAACCAGUUCAGCCCGUGCGGCGAGUUGGACUGAGUCGUCAUCAGCCAUCAUCUCGGGCCAGCAGCCUCGGGACAACGACCCAUUCGUUGAACCUUGGCGGCGGCUUCUCCAUCGACCUGUCGUCCAGCUUCUUCCAGGGCGUGCGAGGCAGCAGCAAUGGCAAUACUGGUACGUGAAAUUUCAUUGUGUUGGUUCAAGUCAUGGCUAAAUCGAUGGUAGUGAACAAUCUUUAUUUUUGCGCAAGGCGAGAGCAGUGAACACGGCGGCAGUAGAGGUUUCGGCCAUGUUCAGGCUAGUGGCAACGGUUUAGGUGGAGACGACAGUGCCUCUGGUGGCGGCUACCGCGGUGACGGUUACAACGCUAGCUUUGAAAAUGCCGAUGAGUAUCCUCCAAGCAUACCGCAAGUGCAACCUGCUAAUCUGCCGCCGGCUAUCGACUUGAGUAAGCUGUGUUCAUGGUGCAUCGACUGGAGUAGUGUUAUUUGAAUGGAAAAUUUUAUUUGGUUUCAUUUGAUUUAUGUAGAUGUCUUAGCAAAUAAAAAAACAAGGAAAUUUUAUAGUACGGAAGAAAAGCGUCUAAUAUACUCAUGGAUUUUGAAACGCAAUGGGACCUCCACAAAAUUGAAGCAUGGAGUUUCAGCUGCGGUUGCAGAAUUGGCAAAAUGUCUAAGAAGGGUAGUCACAAGGAUUUGGAAGCAGGGAUUAAAAGAAGGUGGCAUAAAUAAUGUGAAGUGCAUGCGCAAGAUGAAGUGUGGAAGAAAGAAGAUCAAUUUGGACAUUGAUGCAUUGGAGGCUAUCCCUACUUCCAAGCGCACCACCCUACGGCAAUUAGCUGAAGCUAUCAACAUGCCAACGACCACUGUUUUUCAAAGGUAAUAUUCUGAUAUUUUUCAUGGUUUAGUAUAUGCCAGAAUUCACAUCCUAACAAACUUAAUAUGUAUGUAUAGGUUAAAGGAGAAGCAAAUUAGGAGGGUAAGUAGUGAGCUCAAGCCCAUGUUGACAGAAGAAAACAAAAAGACACGUGUGCUCUAUUGCCUUCAACAUAUUGAGCCUUCUACCUUCCAAGACACUCCAACAUUCAAGGCCGGGUUCAACACCGUUCAUAUUGAUGAGAAAUGGUUCUAUCGAAUCAAGAAGAAAGAAAAUGUCUAUUUAAGCCAUAGAGAGGAAGCCCCACAAAGAGAGACUAAGAACAAGGGUCAUAUACAGAAGAUAAUGUUUCUAUCAGCAAUGUCUAGACCUCGCUAUGAUGCUCAAGGAAAUUGCAUUUUUGAUGGGAAAAUUGGGGUCUGGGCUUAUGUUGAUUGGGUUCAAGCACAAAAGAAAAGCGCUAAUAGGUUUGUCUUGCCCACAAACUUAUUAUUUCACAAUUUUAUGUUGAUUAUGUUUGUGAACUAAUAUAAAAUAAUUUCUUUCCUAAUAGGAAGAGGGGAGAGUGGGAGAUCAAGCCUUCCACAGAGGUAGACAAGGCUAAAAGCAGAGAGUACUUGAUUAACUUUGUGCUUCCGGCUAUCAAGGCUAAAUGGCCGGCUAGUGAUAGAUACAAAACAGUGUACAUUCAACAAGAUAAUGCUAUGACCCAUAUUCAGCCCAAUGAUCCUUCAUUUGUCAUGGAGGCCGCUAAAGGAGAUUGGGACAUUAAGAUGGUUUUUCAACCACCUAAUUCGCCCGACACAAACAUUCUAGAUCUUGGAUGGUUUGCUUCGAUCCAAUCGCUGUUUCAAAAAAAAAUGCCCAAGACUCUUGCGGAAAUACUUGCAAAGGUCAAUCAAUCUUUAGCCGAAUAUCCGCAUGAAAAGCUUAAUAGGUUCGUCACGCUUGAUCUUCUUUACUUGUCCAAGUUCCAUUACAUUUUUUGGUAAUUUUUGCGUGUCAUCUUGUAGGAUAUUCUUGAGCCACCAAGCAUGCAUGAGGGAGAUCAUACGCAAAAAGGGAACGAUUCACUAUGAUGUACCCCACUUGAAGAAAAAGGUUCUUGAGAAAGAAGGGCGAUUGCCAAUCCGUUUGACGAUUGACAAGGACUUCGUAGACGAGGGAAUAGAGUGGCUCAAUGCAGAUCCUAUUGUGUAGUAAUAUGUUAGAAAGAAGGGCAAUAUUAUAUUGCAAAAUUCGAACAAAUACUUUCAUGACAUUGCAAACUUAGAACAAAUACUUUUGAUGAUAAUUGAGAGAAAAGGAUGAUUGGUGAAGGGAAUUGUAGCUCUAGUUAUCCUCCGUCUCCGGCACGAACAUGCCAUCUUCUUUGUCCUCGUCGACAUCAUUCACUUGAUUACGGCCACAAGAGCAACACACCCCGGAUGCGUCCACAGAAUAACCAUGGACGCAAUCACGGCAACAAAACAUGAACGGGAUAGUGUUAUGCCCGCAUAUGUUGCAACGUGGGAGAACCUCAGGGACUGGGAGCCCGCAUCCACGACACGCGAAUGUAGACACGUCGCCAACGACAUAGCAGUAUUGGCAUAUUGGAUGACGCACACACCCCACACAAGCUGAUUCUGCCAUGGCCUUCUUCAUCACCUCCUCGUACUUCAACUUACCCUCUUGGGCCUUCAUCUUUGCCUUCAUCUUCACUUCUUCGAGAUACAAUUGUCCCUCCUCCACCGGCAGCUUGAUGGGCCCUUCCAUCACCGGCGGGAUAACCACCGGUUGCAGCUCCUGGCCGUCGCGCCACGGAGACAGCAACGCCCCAUCCAUCUCCUUGAGUUGCAUGCACUUUUUUCCCUCACCUCCAGCCAUAUGCUCAAGACGUGUCUUCCCUUGUCUCUCAUCCAUGUGUUGUGCAAAUGAUUUAUAGAAGAAUACAGGGGAGAUGAAGUAGAAAAAGGUGGAAGACGAAGAAAACGAGUGUGAAAGCUAAUUCGUUUUACACCACUACUAGUUGCAUGUAAAAAGUUCAUUGCAUGCAUGUGUGAAACCAAAGAAGAAGAAGCAUCGGGGAGAGAUGGACAGCCAUGCAGUUGUGUGCUAAUUAAAUGACAUUUAAUGUUUACAGGCCUUAAUCUUAACUAAAGUGGAACAAAUAGAUUUUGGAGAUAGGCCUAACACACCGGAACGGAGGGAGUACCAUAUCAUGAUGCCGUAUCAUAUUAAAUGAUGUGCUAUUAUGUGUCUUGCAUGGCAAUAAAUGAACUAUUCUAUAUGAUACUAACAUAUGAUAAUAUGCAUUACGGAUACAUUAAUAUCAUAUGCAUGAUACUAGUAUAUGGUAUUAUCCAUUACAACCAGCCUAAAAGAUCAUGAACCUAAAGGUGUGAUCCAAGCACCUAAGCAAUGACUUUCCAUGAGCAUUUUUUACUUUGCAAUUUACUGCCAACAGAGAAGAAUGGUAGAAGUCAGAUCCAACCGUCGAUUUUCAGGCUGAUAUAGCCUACUAAUGUCCAGCCCCUUUUUGUCUGCGUAAAGGAAUUGUCCUUCGACACCCAUGGGCUAUGUAUCUGGUCUCUCGGGUUGCCAUGUUCGGGACAUAGUGCAACCAGCUAUCGUCCGAGUAGUGUUGUUCCUUUCUUCUCGUUUGCUGCAACUAUCCUCGAGAUCAAGUACAUGCACACUUGAUUCACCAUACAUACCACAAACUUUAUAAUAGGAAAAAACCAUUAUAUAGUUCAUGUUUUAUAUAUAAAGAGUACUACCAGACUACAAAGUUUGUCAGAAAGAGAAAAACUCGCAAGCUUCCAAAAAUACCCAUACUAUAUGUACAGCCAACCUAUAAGAAGUUGCACAAACAAGCUAGCAAUUUAGUAUCUACAUAGUGUCCAAACUACGAGGCAUCAUGCAACAUAGUCCCGAUCUAGGAACUCCUUGAGAGGUUGUUCUAGCGCCUUCAUCACUGCUUUCCAUCCAGCAUGUGUCGGAUGCACCUCGUCCCAGUAGAAGAGCUGGUCGGGAUUUUCGCAUAAUUCGUAGAGGGGCUCCCCUGUAUCGCCCUGCUGUCCACAGAACCCGGUAUCAUAGAAACCCUCGCAACAUGGGGCCAGGUUGUUGUUGAACUUGUUGUUGGACUGAUCCGACCCUUCAACUGGAUGCACACGAGAGAAGUAUGUAUAAAUAGAGUGGACGUGUUGAAUCAAGCUUGAUAAGUACCAAAUUUAAUUUACAACGUGCAUGCAUGGACAUAUAUAUGCAAGUGCUUACCGGGGGCAUGAUUGAUGAUGUCGGUGAAGGCAGUGUAGAGGUCCAGCAUGUAGGCGUUAUUCUUCUUGUCCAUCAACUGCUUUAGAUUUUUGUUAUGCACGGACGCGGCGUAGUUGCCGAGAAUGUCACAUGCGGUGUAGUUGUUCGGGCUAGUCCUCAAAGGCGUGCAACCGAUGGGAAGCAUGUUGUUCACUAGCACCUUUUUCACACCCAUUUUUUGCAGCUGCUCGACGUUCUUCACAAUCUCUGUCGUCACGUUCCCAAUGUAAGUAUCGAUCUGCAUGCAAGAAAAGUUAAUAAGGUGGAGAUGAACAAUAUCAAUUUCAUGCGUGCUUAGUGUUCGAUUGUUUGUACGCAUGCAUGAGUCCGGCUACUACUUACGUCGUCGAAGCUGCUCAAGAAAGAGUUCUUGACGUCGGCGCCGCUCAUGUAGUCGUUGCCGGAGAUGGCGACAAGCGCGACGGAGUGGCGAAGCUGUUCUUUCGAGAUGAUUCCGCUCUUGAUUAGCCUCAUGAAAGAUUUGACCUGUGCGGCAAGAGUUGGCACCUUCUUCUGGAACACGCCGGCGCCACCGGAAGCGAAGGUCAUGCCAGUCGGAUCACAAGACUGGUCUAGUGUGUGCAUGUACGCCGGAGGGGCUGCAUUGAGGCCCAAGAUCCUUGCUGCAAAUACAAAGCCACGCGUAGAAUAAUCGAUCACUCUACAUGCGCUAACAUAAAUUUCUAGCCACGCUCUGAAAACAAAUUCUAUAGCUAACUAGGCACUGAAAUAAGGAAUGUUUUAGCACACCUACCGAUAAAAUCUGAUUGGAUCUGUACACUGAAAGAAUACUUACCGAUAAAAUCAGACUGAAUCUUGUUGUUGGAGAAGCGGCCGGUUGGAACGGCAGCCGCAGACCCACGGGAGUUGAUAUAAGAGCCGUACGGGUAGAUCCACUGACGCGAGAGAUCGGACUGGGAAUGACCACCAGGCAGCUUAGGGAGGUUGCCGUUGUCCGCGAAGUCGUCGCCGAAGACGAACAUGCUGGUCCACUGGUUCUUCGAUUCCUCCGCGGACGGUGUGCCUCGAGCCUCCACGCGAGCGGCUGCCAUAGGGAUCGUGUAUCUUUGUCAGCACUUUGCGUGCAUGCAUGCAGAAGACGAAGAAGGUUCCGCAAACGAAUGUACGUAUAUAUCGAUCGAUCAAAAAGAAGCAAGGAGGUAGUAUACCAUCGAAGAAUAGCACGACGAGGAGAAGCCACACAACCGCCGGAGGAAGCUUCAUGGCUGCCACUCCUCGGCCGGCCGACCGGCGACGAAGCAGAGAAUUGCUGCGGAGGAGGCGAGGUGGCGUUGGCGUGUGUGAGGUGCGUAUAUAAUAUAGCUAUGGAAGGCGGGUAGAUCGAUCGAUUGGUGUGGCCGUGUAUAUGUAUAUAUAAGUGGCUAACUAGUUCAACUCGUGUCCUACCCGACCACGUUCUUGUGUAGUACGUAGACUUGGCCCCGUUUCCCUGUAUGUGGUAGUAGUACUGUACUCUAGUACGUACACUCAUAGAUCAAAUGCAGAGUCAGCUUGGGUUUAUGUUUGUUGCCUUGGGCCGACCGUAGGAGGUUCGAUCGGUAGUCCGAUUCGCCCGCAUCGUUCACGUUGGAAAGCAUAUGCACUAUUUUCUUCCAAGUUAAAAGGGACCAUACCUACCGGUUCAAAAGUUCACUACAAAGCCCUUGUUUUUAAACAGGGUACAGAUGCAGGCAUUCAUAUAAACGCACAUACACACAUUCCUUUAAACACGCACACACACGCUUUAUUCCUAUGAGUACCUUCGAGAGACUGAUGCGGCAUAUCAUCUUGAGAUUUACAAAAACACUAUAGGCGCUCUUCGUCAACGGGAACAUCUCCUCCCGUAAAUAUCUACCAGUACAAAAGUUCACUACAAUGCAACUUUUUUUUAAACACGAUACAUAUGCAAGCGCUUAUAUAAUCGCGCAUACACUCACCUCUAUAAACGCGCACACACACACACACCAUAUCCUUAUGAGCUCCUUUGAAAGAGUGGACCGACAUAUCAUAUUUAGAUUUACAAAAUCACUAUAGACGCUCGUCGUCGAUGGCAACAUCUCCUCCCACUGAAUAUGUAUUGCCAAAAAUCCUGAAUUAAAUUCAGCAAUAAUACAAGCACCAUGAAUUGAAUCCUGAUGGGCUAGGAAUACAAAUGUUCCUCUAACAAUUCAACCCCGUGUUGGUUCGUCAUUACAAAGCACCUGGAACAUAUGGAGUUGUCCCAUUGCAUGGAGAAAACGCGCUAUCGUCUACAGGUAAGCUGGUGGGUCCCUGUUAGCAGCAGCACUGGGUUUCUACGAGUGCUGCUGCUAAGGCAACUAGCAGUAUCGCUUUUCACUACCCAACGCUACUGCUAUGGUCGCUAGCCAUAAUAUCUACCCCAUUUUCUCCCUUCCCCCCCCCCCCCCCCCCUCCCCCCCCCCUCUUUCACUUGCUUGUUUCUUCUUCCUUCAAUACAUCCCUCCUCCUUCGCUCUUCUUUGCCGAAGCCUUAGGAACCGUACCGGAUCAUCAACUCCGAAAUGAAUUCUAUUCUACUGCAUCCAGCAUGAAAUUGCGUCGAUCAUCAUGAAAGACGUCCUCAAAGAGAAUCACCCCUCGGUAUUUGUCCAGCUUAUUGAUGAAUUGUUGAAGCACCCCCUCCUAUGUGACAUCGCAGAGCACACCCCAUUGCCAAAGAAAACUUCAAAGUUUCACAAGCACGCAGUCCAAACUUCUCCAAGAUCAACCCUGGAAACAAAACUCAUUCCUUAGUCUCCAAAUACUCCACAAGGAAGUAGUAGCAAUCAUAUUCUGGACUGGUUUUUUCUUAUGAAUCUGCCAUAAGACACAAAUAUCUUUAAAGCCGGAAAUAAUGGGAAUUUGAAAAGAAUCAGCAAAUCAUUUCCCUAUGCACUUAGCCACCACACAAUCAAAAAACAAAUGUUGUACAGAUUCCAUUUCAUUACAAAACAAGCAAGUAGGAUCAUCAACAUUUCUUCACUUAGCUAAGUUAUCACUGGUUAAGAUUUUAUUAUAUAUACUCAGCCAGAGAAAAACAUGGAUAUAUUUUGGACAAAGAACCUUCCACAUCUUAUCACCAAUGGCAGAUACCACACCCCCAAAGUUAAUUGUAUUAUAAAAAGGACUUAACGGAAUAUAUUCCUUUGGACUCCAACAUCCACAUGGGAACAUCAGGGCCAUCAGAUAGAGGAAACCCUUGAAUAAUAUCAAGCAAAUGGUUCCAUCUAUCAAGACCCCUACUAUCUACACACCUCCUAAAGGAGAGCUUAAGGUGUACUCCAUCCCACACCUGAGAGACAGUGCAAUCAGGUUGGUUGCAAAUGUAAAACAACUCCCAGAACUGCACCUUCAAGGAACAUUCCCCAGCCCAGAGGUCAUGCCAAAACUUAAUACUUCUACCAUUACCUAUCUUCCACCUAUAAGAACUCUUGGAAGCAUUUAAAGCCCAGGUUANNNNNNNNNNNNNNNNNNNNNNNNNNNNNNNNNNNNNNNNNNNNNNNNNNNNNNNNNNNNNNNNNNNNNNNNNNNNNNNNNNNNNNNNNNNNNNNNNNNNNNNNNNNNNNNNNNNNNNNNNNNNNNNNNNNNNNNNNNNNNNNNNNNNNNNNNNNNNNUUUCAAAAGGGAGAGCCAUUAUCAGAUUUGGGCCAUAAUAUAUUAGGAGAAUCAGUGUUAUAUUUAAAAGAGAUAACAUAUUUCCACUCUUUCUUUUCAGUAUCAAAAAACCUCUUCCCCAGGAGGCUAAUAAGGCCAUAUUAAAAUCCUUCAGGUUGGGUAUCCCCAGCCCCCCAAAGCAUUUAUUCCUGGUGAUCAGCCCCUAGUUAUCCAGAUGAUACUUAUGUUGAUCCCCCGUAUUUCCCCAGAAAAAAUGUGUCACUUGUGAGUUAAUAACAUCUGUUGCCCACUUGGGAAAUUUCAUUACUGACAUAAGAUAAGCUGGGAUACUGACAAUGCAGGCACAAAGAAGAAUCAAUUUUCCUUUAUAUGUAAGAUGUGUGCCCAGCCAUCCAGAAAUGCAACUAAUUAUCCUAUCGAUGAUGGGUUGGAGAUCUUCCCUACNNNNNNNNNNNNNNNNNNNNNNNNNNNNNNNNNNNNNNNNNNNNNNNNNNNNNNNNNNNNNNNNNNNNNNNNNNNNNNNNNNNNNNNNNNNNNNNNNNNNNNNNNNNNNNNNNNNNNNNNNNNNNNNNNNNNNNNNNNNNNNNNGCCCUACACAGCUUGUCAUGGUGCAAAGACACCCCCAAAUAUUUAAUAGGAAAGGAUCCAACCUCACAACUAAAAAUCUGGGCGAAAGAUUUAGUCAUCUCUUCCUCAAUAUUAGUAGUCAAAAGAUCAGUCUUAUGAAAGUUGAUUUUCAUCCCAGAUAAGUUUUCAAAGCAAGACAUGAUCCAUUUAAAAUUUCUUGCUUUCUCACAAGAGUUUUCUAGGAAAAGCAGAGUAUCAUCUCCAUAUUGUAAGCUGGUGAUCCCUCCCUCAAUGACAUUAGGGAGAAGCCCCGAGAUCAGUUUUUGCAGAGUAUCAUCUGCAUAUUGUUCAAGAGCCACCUACUUGAGGGUUAAUAUCACGGGAAACUGAGAGUUGUUAAUGGUUAGAGGUUAAAGCAUUAUAUUGCCGAUGGUCCAGUUGAUGUGGAUGUAAAUGUAGUGCAACUAAUGCCCCCUUAGAAUUUAUCCAGAAAGAAUUUCAGAUCCUGCCAAAAGACAACAAUUCUCCUCCAACAAAUAAGUAAAAAGUAGUAGUAGGCAUCUCUCCCUCCUUGCUUCUAUUGAAGCUUGCGGGUGGGUGCCGGGUAUCUCACCUCGCAUCUAUCUAUAUUAACUUUUUGCCUUAGGAUUAUCUUUUGAGUGGCAUAUCGAUCUUUUGAAGUUAGGUUGCAAAGUAUAAUAUCGCUCAUUCAGAGUGAUUAUCGAUGUAUCUAGUGACGUGUGGUUAUAUAUAAUAAAUAGAGGGCUCAAGGUUUCCUUUUUGGUUUUGUUAUUAUAUGUUCUUGCAUUGCCACAUACCUUAGAAAAUAUACGAUGUGGGAGGAUAUGACUUUGCUGACAAUAAGAAUUACAAUAUGGAUGUUAACUUGAUAAUAAAACUAUAGCUAGUCUUAUAAUGGAUUCAUGAAACGUAGUUUGGAAAUAGAGGAUGUGCAUAUGCAGUUGGGCAAGAAAUCCGCAAGCUUAAAUGAGCUAUCUAUUUUACCGUUGGGCAUGAAAGACAACUAAGUGAACAUGUAUCUGUGAUCAUAGGUUAAAAAUGUUACGCCCCCCCCCCCUCCACACACACACACACNNNNNNACACACACACACACAACAAACAUCAUUUAUUUAGAGCCUUCCUACCCAAAACCCAAUUUUACUAAGCAUGAAUUAUGCAUGUGCAUCCAUAACUUAAGACCGGUCAAUCCCACAAGUAUCCACUAUAACUACAUCUAUGCAUGAGUAAGGUCGCUCCAAGUCAACUUUCGUCAUCGCACGCAACACGUUGCCAAUUAAAAAAAUCCCCGUUUAAGUUUUCAUUGUGUGGGAAUGAUAAUUUUCCACAAACUUGUGACGGAGGACCGGAAGAACAAAACCAAAACAAAGAGAAAUUUUGCACCAUCACAGGGGGCAAUGGGGAAUUAUUGUUUCAAUGGUCUAAAUUCUUGAACAUUUAGUGAAAAGUGCAUGACAUUAUCUACUUCCCUCUGCGAAGAGCCUUUAUUUUAUUUUUGUAUUGGGUCAUUCCUUCUUGAAAUCUAUUAUUUUAGCGUGAACCAUGCUUGUUAGAGUAAUGCCCGUUGUUUGAUGGUUGCUAUGAUUAUAUGUAUUGUGUCUUCAUUGAAAUUGAAAUAAUCAUUGAGAUUCAUGUCAUAAGCCAAAGCAAAGCAAUUUGCUAUAAACUUUGAUCUUCUCAUGUCUGGCUAUAAUUUUGUGUUUUGAAAUUUUGAUCACUUGAAUAUUACUCUUUAUUGAAAGAAGGCAAAAGAGUUAAUUGGGCAUAUGUAACUUGCUUACUCAAAGAUCUUUCAUAGACCUAUCUUGGAGAACCAAGAUGAAAGAAAUCAUUAGAUGGACUAGAGUAUGGUCAAACAGCUUGCAUAACAUCCAAAUUUAGAAUACCCAUUGUUUAUAAGUUUACAUGACCUCCGCAUCACGUACUUCUAUUUUUGAGUGUUGUUGUGUUAGCAUGUGUAAAAUACUAUUACAAAUUAUGAUUACUUCAUGCAUGUAUUCUUUUAUUAUCGACCUCUCACUUUUUAACAUGUAGCCAUGUUUGAAAAGUUCAAGUUCUUCUUGAGGGCAAGAAAUGGCUAAGCUUGGGAGAUUUGAUACAUGUGUUUUGCAACACAUUUUGGUAGGAUAAAUUAUCUACUUUUGUGACUUUUUAAUUUAAUUUGCAUCGAUUUAAAGGUGGUUUAUCUCCUAAUGCGGAGAAUUCAUGAAAUAAUUCCUUAUGAUGUUGUGAGAGGUUAAAUUCAGACUAUCGAAAAUAAAGUACCCUAUACCAGAACCCUAUAAAAAUAAAAGAACAUUAGUUUCCAAAAAUUUGCACCGGAAGAGCCCAUGAGCUAGAACAUGGCAACCAAGGGGGCUGUGAAGCCCAGGCGCAGACCUUACAUGGGCGUCUAAGGACGCAUGUGGCCCACAGGUGGCCUCUUGGUGACGUGCACGUCCUAUCGGUCUCUCCGUAAGAGUUUUGGCCAUGUUCAUUUUUCUUCGAUUCUUUUUUCUGCCACUGCGAGGUGGUAACUUAGUAUUUCUCCAGAAGGCUGUUUUUGGACAAAUCCGCACCCUCCGGCAAGGGAAAUUCAAAGUUGUCGUCAUCCCCGGAUUAGGGGCAUCAAGGGGAACAUAUUCAUACAAAUUAUCUUCACCAUCUCCAUGAACAGGACCAUCGCCCCCGUUCCCCUCUGAUACAUCUGUGUAUAGUCAAGUUUGAAUUGUGUACCGAUACAACUUGUUGGUGUUAAUUGUUGUAUAUAUUAGUAGUUGAUGCCUUGCGUUUUAUUUGUGAAAUAUUCUUACAAUACAACAAUAUAUCAGAUUCUUUCAAUUAUCAUUACCAUACUGAACAUGCUCACCAUGAUGCAUUGUUAGUAGUUCCCUUGUGUUCUUGAGGAUAUGGGAGAAACCUAGUUGUCAAACUUUAUAAUAUUUGUAGUAAAGAUUGUAGUUUAAUCAUGUUGUAGUGUAAUUAUAUAGUGGUUUUACGUGAACGCCAACUAUGUAACACUUCACCUAUGUUGUAGUGUAAUCAUAAUAAUUUUCAGAUGGAAUUUCCAAGUGACAAAAAUUAUUGUUCCCAAAGUUUUGAAGUUAUGAUAUGAGUGGUGAACAGGGACCCUAGAGGAAGUUAGACUAUGAUUGGUUGUUUACCUUAACAAAUAUUAGUAGUUGGAGAUUGCUUUCCAAGAUUACAAUCAAUAUAAUGAUCCUCUCAGAUCAAUCUGAUGUUAUUCUUGUGGUGUAUUUGUUCUGUUCCGAUGGAUUAUAGAUUUAUGAUCAGAUUGUUCAUUGACUUAUAUUGAUUCUCUUGAAGUUUAUUUUUUGCUUAAUUUUAUAGCUAUGUAUACUUUAUGAUCUUUUGCCUUCUCUCGCCAAGAUAGACGAGUAUUUCUUCAAAAGGAGUAUAACCUUAGGUACAAUAACUAAACACACUUAGGUUCCCCUUCUUACUUCUUUCAUUUCAAGUAUCGACAUAUAAGCAUCGAAUAUGAUUACAAGCUAACCAAGGAAAUAUAAAGAGUAUAGGUGAAAGUUCAAAAUACACAGAAUUAACCGAAAAGUAACUCCAAGGUAACUAUCUCUAUUUUGGGCCAACCAUUCUCACUCGUCUUGUUUAAUUUGGACCAUAUGUUAACUGGAGAGGUGUGUGCCCAAUAGAUGAUGAUGGCUGGUUUAGUCUGGAUCCUAACACUAAUGUGGUUUGACAUGUCACAUGUUACUAUAUGCGAAUAAAAACAUCAUACAGUUGGUUAGUUACCCUUUUGUGUCUAGCAAAUAUCAGUUCCAAUUGUAGCCACCAAGGCUCGACGGAUACGAAGUGCAGAUGUGGCAUUGUUUUGUUUACCAAUCACCUUUUUCUGGUCGACGACUGUGAUUAAUAGAUAGGAUUCGGGAAUAAUCCAAUGGCUAUAGAGGAAUCCUUGUUUUUAUUUUGUUUUUCUUUCUUUCUUUCUUUCUAUUAACUUGUAUUGUUUUCCAAGAGCACCAUUCACUCCUCGGUAUUUUUUUGUUUCCUUUUUCUUUCUAUAAAUUAUUUUGCGAAGAACUCAUGUGUAAUGGACUCAUGUUUUUUCGGGUGUUUUUUCCUUUUUACUAACUUAUUCGUUAAAAGCAAUUUGAAUUUAUCUUCAUUAUAGGGUAUGAAUUUUUUUUAGAAUUCCAUUAGGGUGAGAUCAGACAAAUGGUGAUCAUCAUUCUCAAGAAACGUAAUAUAAAGUUUAGGUAAUUUCUAUCCGAGAUAAGCUUUAACCAUUUUGGUGAUCCUACACUUGAUCAUAGGGCAAGUGAAGAUACCAAUACGAAACUACAGAAAUUGACAACGUCAAGCAUGCCAUUUACGUAAGAACUCAUAUUCUCAUAUUAACUCGGUCACUUAAAAAAGAGGUAAAUGUGAAAACUAACAUAGUCAAUAGUAAAACAAUAUUUUUUGAAGCCUUGCAUGUAUAUUGUCACAUUAAAAAAAUUCAUACCUCUCACAUCCUAUGGAAGGAGUGGUGAGAUCAUUGUUGAGCAGAGGCUAAGUGAUGACAUGCAGUGAUGCCAAAGAGGACGAUGCUAGAAAUGCAGCAGUGUUGAGAGAGCUGUUGGUUGGUUGUAUCAUAGCGAGUUGCAACACAUGGGAAAUUAGCUAGUCAGCUCAUAUGGACAAUAAAUACCGGUGUGUAUAAAUGAUACACAUCAAUGAACAUGGGAAAAUACACACCACAAAUAUGGGGAUGGUCCAAAUGCUUUCAAGUGCUGUCGUCGCUUGGCUUAUCUCCAGUGUGCCAACCAAAUUGUGUCCUAGUGGGGUUACACACCGCCAAUCCAAUGUUGAUAUGACCAUCCUGGUCGAGAAGAACAUGCCAACCUCUAAUUCAUCUGCAUGUGCUUCAAAUCUUUGUUGGGUCUAAAAAUCAACAUUAGUAAGAGUGAGGCGUUUGUCCUAGGCUGCCUCCACCUCGAGAAAAUUCAAUUGUUAAUAUUCUUAAUUGCAAGUUGGGAUCAUUUCCAAUACUACCUACCUGGGGGGUUCCUAUUUCACCUCUAAAGUUGUUGGUUGCCGAAUUUUGGCCCACGAAACGUAACUUGGGUUCUGGGUUGCUCCUUAUUGAGGACACAAACAAUCCUCGAGGGGAAAAGUGACUUUGAUUAAUUAUUCCCUGUCCAGCCUCCCUACCUUCAUCAUGGGCUUUUACCACUUAUUUGAUAGCAAUCAUGAUAACUUUGAAAAGGAUCACGGUGUUUUUAUUGGACCACCGUAGAUAACAAUAAGAAAUAGUACCACGUGGUGAAAUGGAAGUUCAUGUGUAGACCCAAAAACCUUGGGUGUUGAGAAUUAUUAACAUUCCAGUAAUGAACAAGUGCUUUUUCAUGAAAUGGUGGUGGCGCGUGUAUAAUAUAACAAACCAGAGGAUUCCCUUUGGAUUCAAAUUCUUAACACAGAAAUAUUUACCGAACUCUUCACCGUUUCUUUCCAAUGCUUGCAAUGGAUCCAAAUUUUGGAAAUUGUUAAUCAAGGUGCAAGAUAAGUUCUGUGGCCCCCUGAAAUUUGUGGUUGGCUCUGGCACUUGGACUAAUUUCUUGCUUGACUGGUGCUAGCUAGGAGGAGGGCCCCUCUGCUACUCCCCCCUUGUCUUUUCUCGUAUGUCUCUAACCAUUCUAUCUCCAUUUUGGAGCUUGCUGCUAAUAAUUGGGACCAAGCGUUACAUCGGGUAUUGUCCGCUGAAGGGUUGGCUAAUUGGCAGGAGAUCACUGCCCUUCUAACGAUGCUCCCGGAGACUCCGGGUCAGCUUAUUUGGUCUAACUCCCUUUAUGAAAAAGCAUUGGUUAAAUCUCUCUAUUAUCUCAUGGCGGUGGGAUUCUAGAUUCAAAGAUAUAUGUAGGGCACAAGUCCCUCUUAAGAUCAAUAAUAAAGAUCGAUGGCAGGACAUAAGACUCAAACUACCAUCCAUCAACCAAAUUAUUAAGUGAAAUGUCUUGGCCUCUGCUGAUUAUUCUUUUCGUUCAGAGGCCCGAAACAAGGAACGCGUCAUUUGUUAAUGUGUCUUGGCCCGCUUGGGGUGGAGAUGUUUUCGAUCGUUGUUGGUAUUUGCUACAUUUACUUGCUAGUUUUGGACUAGCAGGAAUAAUUUUACUAUUGACCAUGUUUUUCCUCACCGCCUGACUGGUUGUCUCUUUAAAAUGUCUGCCUUAUUACAGUAGUGGGAACCUCUCUCUAAAAUAGGGGAUGAAGACGUCAUGGCCUCAAUCAUUGCCAAUAUCCUUUGGUUCUUCUGUGUUUAUGGCAUGCGUGUCGGCUUAGGUUGUACGUAAAACCAUUUAACUAUGUCGUUUGUUGGAUGACUGCACCAUUGAUGUAAUACAAGAAACCUAAUACAAGAAACCCCUGAAGAGGAAAAUCUCUAACUAAUGAUUGUCUUAAAUUCAUAAUUUAAAUAUAUACUUCCCCUGUACCAAUACAUUAGACACAAUAUGAAAAUCAGAUAAUCCCAAAAUGCUUAGAUAACAAUCCCAAAACGGUUAGGUGCGAUGCAUUAACUCCCCAGCUUGUUCCAUAUUUCUUGUCACGAGAUAAGAAUCAGGAUGUGAGACGUUCAUACCUUCAAUGAUUUGAGACUACAUAGCAUGACAUGUAAUGUUUAAUUUUAAUACCAACAAUGGUAUUAAUUAGCAAAUAAACAUCAAGUUCUUCCGUUUUUCUCUUCACCUUUGUCGCGAUGCACCAUUUAGGAUACGUAAUGCUCCGGUACAGAGGGAGUAACAUGAUAGAUAUUUAUAUUGUUCUAAUGUACUCAAAUAUUUUCAGAAUUUUCUAGAACUUUUAGCAUAGGAUCUCAAAGUUAGGAUGUGUUUUAUUUUGUACUCCACUAUAAAUCUAAAGUCAGAAUUUUAAUCCUGUCAAAUCAAACAUAUUUCAUGACAAUUUGUGUUUGCCCAAGAUGACAAGUUUAGUUGGCAAGCAUGGCUACUCCGGCGAGUUCGUUUUUUGCCGUGCUUGAAAACUAAAUUUACAAUCCUCACGCCAACUAAAUUUGUCAUAAAAACAUUGCAUUUGCCAUUUUUAAAAAUCUAACGUCAGAUUUUUAGCAUUACCAUUUAUUUUUGCUGGAGAAGCCCAUUAGGAAGAUACACAUAAGUACAUUCAGAAACAUAUUGUUAUUUUGCCCUUUCAUUUCUCCUGUCUCAUAAUCCUGGUGCCGCCAGAGCAACAAUGACUGAACUUCAACCAGAGCUUGUUAUUAUUACAAAGUUUGACCGGCAGCUCCGGUAAAUGCAAGCCACAGCCAUCUUAUGGCAUGUUACACCAGGGUGUACCGAGCAAACCACAUUUUGCUCAACCUCUACCCUCUUCUGCAGGUGAGUCCACCUUGGCCGCUGCAGAUGCGUAGCUGACGCUGCUGUCCCUCAUGCUCUUGCAUUGGCUCGACUGCUCGUACCGAACAAACCCGACCUUAAUCUUCGUCAAGCAGUGUUUCAACAUCUAACAUAAAUAGAAUGUGCAAAAAGUCAAGGAUUACGAAAAUUGAUAAAAGGAAAGGGAUAAAUAUUAGUCAGAUCGUCAAUGAGUUGCUUACAUGAAGAAGGACACUGAUGGGAUGGCGUCCACAUAUGGUGUUCUCAUACUCCUGAAGAUACUGUUUGAACGCGUCGGGGUCACCAGUCUCUAUGAUCUCCAUGCCCAUGCGGUCCAAUGCCUCGAUUGAUUUGUGAAUGGCACCAUGGUUCUUGUCAUAGUAUGUAUAACUAAACCUGUUGUGGCAAUCAGAAGAGACGGACACAAUCAUUUUACAUUAUCUAAUGCCGAAGUGACAGCAGCAAACAUAACAGAAAGAGUUCAAAAUUUAGUGAACGUGUGGUACAUAAUACCCUCGUACACUAGGUGACAUAUCAAGUGCACUCACUCAUUCAAAUCAAAUCAUGCAACUUUCCUAGUCCUGGCUCUCAGAAUGUUUCUAUGCUCUGGAACAAGGCACAUAAUUUCUGCACAAACCCACCUUCCUCUAAAACUCCAAACAAAUGGAUUCUGUCUUCGCUUUCCUGCACCAUCCAACCCAUGUCAGCCUGCUCCAUAGGCAGGCAACCACCCCUUACAAGAAUUUUCCAUGUUGCCCCACCCUCACUCAGGCCUUCUACUCCACUCAACCUUGGCUGAUGAAGGCCACGUGACAAUUGACAAAACAAGGGAAAUCGACAUAGACGAUGAAAAGAAGCCGAUAUUGUAGACAGCAGAAGUCACUCAAUCAGUCCACAGCGAACCCCCAAGAAUUUAAGUGGAUGAAGGGAGAUGGUGAAGAGAUAGGGCAGGAGACUAACAAAAGCCUUUGGAGCCCGCAAUCCUCUAUUCUUAAAUAGCUACAACCCACUAGCUGAGUGCCUGAGACUGCCUUAACCUGAAGCAAGCACUCAGACUCGCACAAAUAUGACCAUUCCAAACUGGGAACACUGUUUCGACAGGCAAAGUUUCUAUUAUCUAAUUCCUUUAUUGAGUAAUGUUUUGUCCUUGGGACUGUAACAAACCUGCCCAUGCUUUAGUAACAAUCGACAAUAGGUGUCAGAGAUAUCCUGGAUGAAAAUAUCUUAUGGGCAAAGGACUAUCCGAAUUAUGUAGCUCGUUUGGUAGCCGGCAAUUUGGCCAUGCUUUAAAGGAAUACAUGUGCUUUAUUAAAAAAAAAGGUGAUACAGGAAGAUAAUGGAAAGUUGCUCAAGCUGCAGAUUAUGUGGUUAGCAUGUGCCUUGUAUUAUGUUCAUAUAUUCUAUUCUGACGAGGUAAAUACUGUAAUGAAACACUUGACAUUUCGUUGCAAAAUAAACAAGAACCACAAUAAUCAGACAUUAAAAUACUUACCGAGAUCCCCAGUGGCAAAAGUCUGAGGAGACAGAAAAAAAGUUCUUUGGAUCAUCCACAUAUUUAGCGAGCAACUGCCCAUACAUGGCUUCACUUUGGGAGUUGACAGCACCAACAAGGAUAGGUACAACUUUUACAUUAUGUCUGACAGGUCAUGAAAAAAAAUUAUGAGUGUAGGAUACUAGGAUCUGUAUUUUGCUCAAAAAGAAAUACAAGAUGGAUACGAGCUUUAUCAACAAAGUAAUUACCCUUGAAAUACUUUAGAAAGGUAAGGCAAAUGCAUUUCCAUGCUAUGUUCAGCCUCAUCCACAUUAAGGUCCAUAAAUUCAAAUUUUCCUGUAGCUUUGAGUUCCUCGAUAACUGGAAAAACAAUAAUGUAAGAAUGUAUGUCUAAAGUUCACAAAGAGCCAAGCAAAACAGAAUGAUCUGAUUGAAAAGGAGAUCUCAUAGUGUGUAACUAAGAUCUACCAACAGGUUGAGAUGUCAGAUAGCUUAGGGUCGACAUGCAAUCCUAGAGUCUAGACUGAAAAUCCAAAGAAAUAAAAUUGAAAAUUGGAAAUAGAACAGAUUUUGGGUGCAUUCAUGAAAAACUAAUAUUAUUUAUGAGUAGAGUACCCCCUAAUUUCUUUGUUUUCAGAAUAUUUAAGAUUUUAUUUCGUAAAUUCUCGAUGUUUUUUCCAUCUAUAACACUCUCAUUUUUGCAUAACUUAUUAAUAAUACUUUUCAUGACUUAACAUGUUUUUUGUUUCUGUUAUUUUAUCUAUUUUUUCUUUUCUUGUAAUUUUUCUUUCAAAAACAAUUGUUGGCUGUGCCACCAAUGAACAAAUGUCUGGAACAACUACCAUGCCAUCCAUGAAACAAGAAUUAUUUAUGAGCACCCAGUAAUUUCUUUAUUUUCAGAAUAUUCAUGAUUUUUCUUUUUCAUAAAUUCUUGAUAUUUUUUCCAUCUACAACAUUCUCAUUUUUUCCAUAACUUAUAUUAAUAAUAGUUUUCAUGAUUUAUCAUGUUUUUGUUUCCAUAUUUUUUCCUGAUCUUUCUUUUCUUAUAAUUUUCUUUCAAAAACAAUUGUUGACAGUGCCACCAAAUGUGUGGAAAAACUAUCAUGUCAUCCAUAAAACCACUUCUGGUCGGAAAAGGGACCAAAAUCGCCUGGUUUAAAAAGUUGAGGCGCGUGUAAUCGUGUUAUCUAGUACUCCCUCCGUUCCUAAAUAUAAGACGUUUUGGUAGUUCAAUUUGAACUCCAAAACAUCUUAUAUUUAGGAAUGAAGGGAGUAUUAUUUAAGUUGAGGACUAAACUUCAUUUGGCGAUAGUGGGUGGAUCAAAAUGUACUUCUCAGUAAAAUAAAUGAGAUCGAACAAACAAACAGAUCACACAAGAAGCAAACCAGACUUUUUUUCACGAAAAAAUGUAGGGAGGAUCCCUAUUGCGCCAUUAUAAGUUUUUAAAUAGGAUGGUAUGUACAAUGAAGGCAAACAGUGGAGGGAGGGGAAGGGGGGUAAGAUUACAAAGUGUUCAGACACUGCUGCAUGCCUUCCUCCAAGCUGGGUUUAGCCAUAUAUAAAGUGUAUGAAAAGUUAUUUCUGAACAUCCUCAAGCAAUGAAAUACAAAAAAUUAUGGGACUGUUAUUAAGGUAACAAACCUAACAAAAGCGGAGAGCAAGUGUAAGUAUGAUAUGUGGGCCUCACAUAUUUUCUUUUAUUUGACGAAAUUCUGAGGGGGGGAGAGAUGAUGGCCUGAAUAAAAUCAGUGACAAGGGCUGCCAGCAAUUCAACCUGUCAGCUCUUCCCACUGAUUUUACAGAUGUGGAAAAUAGAUUCAGGUUGGCAUACACGUCACAACACAUCAGCUCAAUACCACUCAUGAUUGGAUCGAAGUUGAAGUCUGGACAGUUAAGACAAAUUGAAGUUGAAAUCCAGAUUGAAAAGUGAGUUUUCGACCGAGUUUAGGGUUGAAAAGUGGACUUUUCCAGAUUAGAAGAUACCGAAAAGGUUGACAUGAAUAUUAAAGAAAUAGCUUAGGCAUCUUUAUUUUGUAAGCAUGAUACCUUCCAGGUCUACUGGUAAAUCCCCAAUCGGGGUGCUAUAAACAGUAGCUCUUGUCAGGGCACAUUUUGGAGUAUAGUAGUGAUGAGAUGGGCCGAGCAGAAACACCCGAGAACUGAUUCACAUGAAGAAAAUUCGGAAUUAGAUAGUAAACAGGAUCAAGGAAAAACGUGACGAAAGAAGGCAGUUAUAAGAAUGGAAAUAGAUGAAUGUUUGAACGCUCUAGAACUAUUGCAGCAUGUAGGGCGAGAAUCACGGCAGAACAAAAGUAGCUUACAAAUGAUGUAGUUAGCAUUGGUUUAGAUUUAUAGUUGGACCCAUGCCCAUAAAUUAUGCAUAAUGUACACCAUACAAAUCUGAUAAAUUAAUUAAUUUUACCUAUUAAUUUGUGUUACUUUAUCAGGUAAGGUACUAUAUCUUUUGUAAAUAUGUUAUGUCAUCUCAUUUUUAGUGAGCUUUUAAAAUUCUAAAGAGUUCAUAAUAAAUUUUCUAGCUUAGAAUUGUGGAAAACAAAAAUCAUGUUUAUGUUUUUUUAGUUUCUUAUUGGAAAGUACUAUGCAUCAUAUGUUAUACUGUACUACAAUGCAUCGCAUUAUACAUUUUACACAUAUGGUUCUUAUAUGCCUGCAUAUAAUAGUGCUUUCUACUCCCUUCGUUUCUAAAUAUAAGUCUUUAUAGAGAUUUCAAUAUAAACUACAUACGGAUGUAUAUAGCAUUGUUUUUAAGCCUAGGCGACGCUUAGGCAUCAGGGCGCCCUGCAAGCUCAAGGCGUCCAGCCUGCCUUAGGUACCUGAGUAAGGUGUCCACCUUAAGCUUUAAGGCGUCUGAAGCGCUGCUAAGGCGUCCAGGUUGGCGCCCUUGUCCAUAUUGGACGCCUUGAGCUUGCCAGCCAGGCAGGGAAGCAGUUUUAGGCGGGAAACAGUCUUCUGGCAGGAAACAAAGAUGCUGUUGGCGCCAACAGGUAAGAGGGGGAGAGAGAGAGAGAGANNNNNNNNNNNNGAGAGAGAGAGAGAGAAACAGCCCCCAAUCCACACGCACCUCCUCCUUCUCUGGCUCCUCUCCUCCAGCAGCUCCUCAUCCUCCUCCUCUCCAGUAGCUCAUCCUCUUCCUCUUCAGUACAGCAGCAACCAGCAAUAGGCAACAACAAGGAGCUAACUGCCAAGAUAUACCUGCCCCAUCCUCUACUCUUCUCCCUCCCCCUUCUUCCCCACCCUCCUCUGAUCUGUUUCUUCCAUGUUCAGUUGUUCAUGGCUUGUUGCUUUUCAGUUGUUUAUUGCUUCUUGCUUUGCUGAUUCCUUGCUGCUUUGUGCUAGCUGUUUUACUGGUUGCUCACCGCCUCUCUUAUAGUAGUUAGUGGAUGCCUGGAUGGUUAGAAUAAUGCAUGAUUACUGUUGGGGAGAAGAGGAUGGAUGCUAUAUGGGCUCUACAACCAGCAGCAAGUGCAAGAUGUGUAGUGUGCAUGCCUGGUUGCCUACCAAAUUCUACUUCAUUCUGUUGCUUAGAACUCUCUAAGGCGUCCGCCUUGCCUUAUGCCUUACCGCUUAGGCGGUGAGGUGCCCCCCCCCCCCCGCCCCGAGGGCGCGCCCUGAUGUUGUGUGGAGCCCGUGGCCCAAGUCUCGCAACCUCCUUGUGGUAUAUAAGUCAUUUUACCCUAAAACUUUUAUGGGGAUAUUUUCAGGAUGAGGCGCUGAAAAUACCCACCUUUUUGANCUUAUAUUUAGGAACAGAGGGAGUACUACUUAUGUAGCCAUGUCAAAUAAGUAAAUAGCAUACAGUACUAUAUAGCCAUAUCAUUGCACUUAGUCCCGGGCAUGGGCAGCCCGGCCCGGCUGGCCCAGCCCGAAAGCCCGACAUCCGGGCCGGGCUCGGGCUCAGCUUUUCCGCCCGAAAGCCCGGAAAUGAGCCCGAACAGGACGUUUAUCAGUAUUUUAUUACAAAUAUAGGUAUAUUAUAUUCUUUAAAUAUCUCGAAAAUCAUUAUUUUAAACAAAAAAAGUGCACUGUUCACUUGAGAUUUUGCUGCCGGGCUUUGCAAAGNNNNNNNNNNNNNNNNNNNNNNNNNNNNNNNNNNNNNNNNNNNNNNNNNNNNNNNNNNNNNNNNNNNNNNNNNNNNNNNNNNNNNNNNNNNNNNNNNNNNNNNNNNNNNNNNNNNNNNNNNNNNNNNNNNNNNNNNNNNNNNNNNNNNNNNNNNNNNNNNNCUUUGCAAAGCCCGGCCCGGCAAAUGCCCAGGUGUAAUUGCACUACAUGGUAGAGUGAAAUAUUUGGAUAAUUAUGUAGGGCUCAACUAGAAAUAGGAUGGUUUGAAAACUAAGGCCAUCAAUGCAUACGUCACUGACAUAUAUUACCCCCACCUUUCUCAAUGAGUACAUUACGUCAGGUUGACAAAAUGUCAUCACUUGUAUGAAUGGCGAUUAACACGUUACCCAUGGACUGGCAUUUAGUCAUUUACAUACAAAAAACAUGGUAAAUAUAUGGACUGGCGUAUGUUAGGCAGCACUCAGAAUAUAAUCAAUACAACAAGAGCAGUAAGUUGCUAUUAAAACUGUAAACAUGACGAGAGAACAAUAUUUGUUUGUUUUUUUAGCAAAGAAAACAGUAGCAACNNNNNNNNNNNNNNNNNNNNNNNNNNNNNNNNNNNNNNNNNNNNNNNNNNNNNNNNNNNNNNNNNNNNNNNNNNNNNNNNNNNNNNNNNNNNNNNNNNNNNNNNNNNNNNNNNNNNNNNNNNNNNNNNNNNNNNNNNNNNNNAAACAGUAGCAACAAAUUGCUUAACUCACAUGUUAGUUGGAUCAAUGUUGCCAAAAGCAUAGGCUGCACAGCGCCCUGAGUACGAAUAGCCAGCAUGGCUGCAACGAAAGAAAAGCCUGUUAUUAUGGAAGGGUGGUGAACAGAAUUCCACCUCCAUACAUACAAUAAACAGCAACUUACGGUGCAAUCACGGCCCUAACAUCAGGUGACUUGGUGAGAGCAGCUGCCGAGAGCCAACCAUCGAGUUCCUCUUCCAGCUUGCUGGCUAAUUGUGAACAUGGAGCAGUAGAUGAUUUAGCCGCAAGCGGUAUAUCAGAGAUGACAUAUGGCAGUACAGUCUGAAGACGUAGCACAAAAAAAAUGCAGACAUGAUUAAUUCACACCCUCCAAAUUGUUCUUCGGAUCCAACCUAAAGACAGAGCACACUGCAGGUGGUUGCUAUGUUCGCAACUGAAUUCUGUAAAAAUACACAACCCGACUGAUUCCCGUGAAUCUGAUCAGAAACAACUGCAUUUACGGCAGUUUCGGGACCUGAUACUACACUGCUGCGUCAUCUUAGUACCAAGGAGGGAGAAACCAUAAACGNNNNNNNNNNNNNNNNNNNNNNNNNNNNNNNNNNNNNNNNNNNNNNNNNNNNNNNNNNNNNNNNNNNNNNNNNNNNNNNNNNNNNNNNNNNNNNNNNNNNNNNNNNNNNNNNNNNNNNNNNNNNNNNNNNNNNNNNNNNNNNNNNNNNNNNNNNNUGAACCCGAAGUCAACAGUGCGCACUUUCCCCAACCUAACAGGGCGCACGGAUCCGGUCCGAUCCGAUCCAAUCCAAUCCGAUCCAAGGAGGGCCAGUAGAAAUUCUGCCGACACCAAUAAGCCCUACCAAACUCCCCUAAUCUCGCCAAGAAAUCAGAUCGAGCGCACAGAAAAAAUCCCACCUUUCUCCCAGAAAUCAGAAGAGAGGGACGGGCAGGAUCCAGCAGACUGGGAAAGGGAGGGGAAUCAGGGUGGGAGUACCGUUGUUGGUGUACCAGGAGCCGGCAUGCGACGCCCUUCUCACGCGCUCCAUCCCGACGCAAGGGAAGGGGAUUCCACUGCAGUAGCUCCUCGUUUCUCUUCUUUUUCUUUUCUGUAGCUCGCUCGUCGUCUGGGAUAGAAGAAGGUCUCCUUGUGUUCGGUGGAAGGCUUGCUAUCCAAAUUGGGCCCUGAUGCUCUAAUCUUUAGCUGAAUUUGGGCCUUGCUUAAAACGGAACACGUCCAAAAACGUGAGAAUGGUUAUUAAAAAACCACGUGUAACGGUUCGGUUCUUACUUUGAGUUUGAUUGGUUUAGGUUUUAUUGGGCUGAGAUUUUUUUAGUUUGGUUUUGGUUUUGGGUAUGUGGAGAAACCAGUUUGGAUAUAGUUGGUUAUGGGUUUAAACGGUUUGGUUAUUAGCGGUUAUAAACUAUGGGUCCAAACUGGUUUCUAGGCAUUGGUUAUAUGCAAUAAUCAACUACGGCCGAGAACAAGUAUCUUUGAUCCGCGUGCAUGUUGUAAUACACUAUGUAAUUAUGUAUUAUGGAGAAACAGUAGAUGAAAAUCGGAAGUGUUUUCUUGUGCUUUCGUUGAGAAAUUUGGUUUUAAUACACUUGUUAGUGAGCUUAUCAUCCAUGGGCAUGUUCUUUUUGCCUCUUACUGUGUGUUGACUGUAUCUCAAGGAUUACUUUGUUUCUAAACUGUUGUAGAUGCACUUAUGUCUUUUCUAUCUUAUUUGUUUCUUAACAUGUCAAUUUGUGCAAUCAUAUGUACAUUAAAGCAAACCCAUGGUUAUGUACUGGGUUUAAACCCAUGGUUAUGUUUUGGGUCUAAAUUGGUUUGGGUGGAAAAAAUAGUGGGUUUGAUUUUGGUUGGGCUAAAAAUGACAUUAAAUGGGCAUGGUUCAAGUAUGGUUUUGAAAAAUAAAUGAAUGGGUAUGGUUUAAGUAUGGUUCAAGUAUGAAACCAUUCUCAGGUUGGCGUCCACCACGAUACAUCCUCCUUACAACUCUAACCAAAACGGACCAGCCCACGACGAAAUCACUAGUUAGCGAAUACACCUUCCAACGAUUACUCUUACGUUCACAGGUUGUGACAAGUGACACACUGCAUGCGUGCCACUUGUCGCAACCUAGAAGUUUUUUCCUUUUUUCGUAGAUCCGUAUUUUCAAAACGUUUUAUCUCCUAAACCGUGCGUUCAAAUCUCGAACCGUUUUCACCGUUGGCGUUCUCGCGUCGAGAUCUUCAGAACUAUAUCCCAUGUUGAUAAGUUUUGACGAACAUUUUUUCAUGAAAAAAACGGAAGAAAAAAACCAGAUGAAAAACCAUGCCUCACGCGAUAGAAAAAACAGAAAACACGCUUUUUCCCUUUCCGAGAGGCACGGGUCGUGCCUCUCGCGAAGGCAAAACCGUGCCUCUCGCGGAAAAAAGAGAGCAGAAAAGUGUUUUAUCCUUUUUCGAGAGAGUCACGGUCGUGCCUCUCGCAAAGGCAAAAUCGUGCCUCUCGCGGAAAAAAAGAGAGCAGAGAACGCGUUUUUCUCCUUUUCGGGAAGGCAAAACCGUGCCUCUCGCGGAAAAAAAGAGAGCAGAAAACGCGUUUUUCUCCUUUUCGGGAAGGCAAAACCGUGCCUCUCGCGGAAAAAAAGAGAGCAGAAAACGCGUUUUUCCCUUUUCGGGAGAGGCACGGGACGUGCCUCUUGCGAAAAAAAAGAGAGCAAAAAACGCGUUUUUUCCCUUUUCGGGAGAGGCACGGGCGUGUCUCUCGCAAAGACAAAACCGUGCCUCUCGUAAAAAAAAGAAAACGCAUUUUCCCCUUUUGGAAGAGGCGCGGGCGUGCCUCUCGCGAAGGCAAAACCGUGCAUUUCGCACAAUAAAAACCGUGCCUCUCGUAAAAAAAUAGAAAACACGUUUUUUUCCUUUCCAAAAGGCACGGGCGUGCCUCUCUCAAAGACAAAACCGCGUCUUUUGUGAAAGCAAAACCGUGUCUUUCGCAAAAAAAAGAAAACUCAUUUUUUUUCCUUUCCGAGAUGCACGGCAGUGCCUCUAGUGAAGGCAAAAUCAUGCCUCUUGCUGAAGCAAAACCAUGCCUCUCGCAAAAAAAACAGAAAACGAGUUACGAAAGACCGAUGAAAAACCAUCAUAGCAAAAAAAAAAUCGAAAAAAAAACACUCAAAAAAGGCGAAAACGCUUGUGAAAAAAUAAAAAAACAAAAUCCAAAGAAAACGUUCAGAGCGCGACACGUGACGACGGCUGGAAGCGCGACACAUAACGACGGCUGGAAACGCGUCAAGUGGCGGCGCGCGGGAGCGAUCGUUGUAAGGCUCGCGAGGAAGCACUCGCUAACUAGUUGCUCCGCCCCCACGGAAUUCCCUAUUCGCCGUUCGUUGCGAAGCGAGGCUUCGCACAGGAAUUCCAUCGUUCGUUCGGGAGUAGGCCAUCCCGUUUCAUGUUCCAGCGCUCCGGUUUUGGGAACAGUUCUAACCGGAUGUUUUCGGUUUUAAGAAAUUCUAAAAGGUUAACGGAAUCAUUUUUUCUUUUUUUAUUCUUUUCUGUUUCCUCUUUUUAUUUUCUGUAUCUGUCACAAAAAAUGUUCUGGAUUUAAAAAAAGGUUUUAACAAUCGAAAAUAUUUUUGUUUUUCAAAAAAUCGUUCUGUAUUUUCGAAAAAUGUUGGGAUUUAUAAUUUUUCUUUCCUAUUUCAAAAAUGUUUUUGCUUUUUAUACAAAUGUUCUGGAUUUCCAAAAAAUGUUCUGGAUUUUCAAAAAAUGAUCGUGUUUUCCAAAAAGUGUUCUGGAUUUUCAAAAAUUAUUCUUCUAAUCCGUAAAAUGUUGAAAAAUAUUCUGGAUUUACAAAAUGAUUCUAGAUUUAAUAAUGUUUAAAAAAUUACCACGCUUUCAAAUUUGUUCAUGUUUUUUUCAAAAUUGUUCUUAGUUUUACAAUUUGUUCUCAAGAUUUAAAAAAUGUUUGUGCUUUGAAAUUUGUUCGUGCUUUCAAAAUUGUUCUCCGUUCUAAAAAAUGUUCAAAAUUGUUCGCCCUUCCAAAUUUUUUCGGAGUUUUUCAAAAUUAUUCUCCAGAUUCCAAAAAAUUUGGUGCUUUAAAAAAUUGUUCGUGCUUCCAAAUUUGUUCAGGAUUUUUGUUCUCGGUUUCACAAAUUGUUCUCAAGAUUAAAAAAAUGUUCAUGUUUUAAAAACUUAUUCGCGCUUCAAAAUUUGUUCGGGUUUUUUCAAAAUUACUCUCCAUUUCAAAAAUUUGUCUUCAAGAUUCAAAAAAGGUUCUUGUUUUGAAAAAUUGUUCGCCCUUGCAACUUUGUUCGGGUUCAAAAUUUGUUCUCAAGAUUCAAAAAAUACCCGUGUUUAAAAAAUUGUUCUCGCUUCGGAAUAUGUUCUGGUUUUUUCAAAAAAUUUCUCUGUUUCAAAAUUUUGUUCUAAGAUUCCAAUAAUGUUUGUGUUUUAAAAAUUGUUCGCACUUCCAAAUUUGUUCAAAAUUUGUUUCUGAUUUCAAAAUUCAUUCUCAAGAUUCAAAAAGUGUGCGUGCUUUAAAAAUUUGUUCGGGUUUACCAAAUUUUGUUUGGAAGUUUCAAAAUAUGUUUGCUUUUCCAACCUUUUUUCUGGAAUUUGAAAAAAUAUUCCCAUUUUAAAAGGUUGAUCAUUGUUUGGGAAAUUUGGUCCUCUAUUUCAAAAAUGUUUCUGUUUUUUAAUAAUUUGUUCACAAGUUGAAAACUUGUUCAUAAAUUCCAAAAAUUGUUCAUCGUUUCUUAUUAUUUAGGUGUUUCAAAAAAAGGUCUAAUUCACAAAUUUAAAAAAUAUUUGUGUUUAUAAAUUUUGUUUGAAAAUUCAAAAUAUGUCCCCGUUUCCAACUUCUGUUCUGGAACUUAAAAAAUGUUCCCGUUUCAAAUAAUGUUCCCAUUUUCAAAGUUGUUCACAAUUUUUUUGUGCUUUUGAAAUUUUUUUGGAAUUUCUCAUUUUCUAUAAAAAAAAACUAAUUGUUCAAAUUUUGAUGAAUUUUCAUUCAAUUUGUAUUUCAUGUUUUUUCAAAAAUCGUUCAUAUUUAAAAAAAAUACAUAUUCAGUAAUUCAUUUUUUUCAUUAUUUUUAUAAUUUGUUCAGGUUUUAGAAUUUUUUGCUAUUUUAAUAAAAUGUUCAUGUUUCAAAAACAAUGUUUUGUGUUUCGGAAAGUUAUUCGUGUUUUUAUUUUUUUUGUUUUCUUUUAAAAUAAAAGUUUGAGUUUUAAUACAAAUUCAGAAAAGAUCAGAUUUUUCUGCCUUUUCCAUAAUAUGUUCAUGCUUUUAUGUUGUGUUCGAGUUCGAAAAUGUGUUCACAUGAUUCAUUAAGUGUUCAGAUUUUUCAGCAUUUCAAAAUUCUUUGGAUGAUUUCAAACAUCGCUCACAUAUUUAAUAAUGUUUCUCAUAUUUUCCAAAAGAAUGGUCGAAAAAGUUUGAAAAAAUAGGAUCCGCGCCUGCAUUUUCUUUUAGGUUUCGCAUUAUAUAAUUUUCAUUAGCGCACGUCAGCCUGAGUAGCAAGGGUUAUUGGCUCUAGAGCUGGAGAUAAUGAGUUUGAAUCCCACCUUAACCUAUCUCUCGAUUGAUUUUUAUGUCGCCACAACACGUAAAUGGGCUGGCCCACUCAGCACUCCAUGUGUGCGUCGCGGCGGUAAUUUGCCGCAAAGCGCGUCCAAUAGGACCUCCCACCUCCGCAACUCCUAUUCCGCGUGGUACACACGCCACGCAAAAUAUGAACCGACUCUACGGGGUAGGGAGCUAUGUCUCUCCAAUUACAAGACGUCUUGCCUCUGGCACUUGGUUAGUUGUCGGCUCACUGGAGCUUGUGAAGGUUCUACAUACCUGUGCGGAUUUGUAUUACAAAUACAUGUUGAACAUUAUUUUUUCAAAUUACAUGCUGAACAUUUUGUCAAAUGCAAAUUGAAUAUCUUUUGCGUACAUGGUAACAAUGUUUUUAGGCCCUGAUUGGGCCCUCAUGUUUAGGUGAAUUUGGGCUUUGGGUCAAAACUGGAGCAUCACUGUAAUGCAUAACCCAGGACGCGAUCCCUACCUCAAGAAAGGCCGGCCAUUUAUGGUUUUCCACCCGCUGAUAGCUUCCUGGAAACCGUUUUUCCUUUUUCUUUUUAUUUAGGUUCCUUGUGUUUCUUCUUUUCCCUUUUACUUUGAUGUUUCUUCUGAUAGUUUAAAUAUUCUUUUUCAAAACCGCACCUCUUCUUCCAAAUCGUCAACUUUUCUGAAUUCGCCCUANNNNNNNNNNNNNNNNNNNNNNNNNNNNNNNNNNNNNNNNNNNNNNNNNNNNNNNNNNNNNNNNNNNNNNNNNNNNNNNNNNNNNNNNNNNNNNNNNNNNCAUUCAAAUCAUGCAAAUUAGAGUCCAAAACAAGGGCAAAAGAGUUCGGAAAAGUAGAUACAACGGAGACGUAUAAAUCACCAAGCGGUGUAUCAAGGACAUAACUCUUUUGGGUAACCAUGAGGACAAGUCAUAGAUUACGGGCACAAUCUACAAAGUUGCUUGAUCAUCUUUCAGCUUGGCUUUCACUAGGAACGCAUUAAAAUUUUGGGGAGCUACUGCUCAGUCAUUGAUCUACAACAUAAAUUUGCAAAGAUUACUUAGACUAUUAUUCAAUAUAAUGAGUUUAGUUAAUCAUAUUACUGAAAAAAACUCCCACUCAAANNNNNNNNNNNNNNNNNNNNNNNNNNNNNNNNNNNNNNNNNNNNNNNNNNNNNNNNNNNNNNNNNNNNNNNNNNNNNNNNNNNNNNNNNNNNNNNNNNNNNNNNNNNNNNNNNNNNNNNNNNNNNNNNNNNNNNNNNNNNNNNNNNNNNNNNNNNNNNNNNNNNNNNNNNNNNNNNNNNNNNNNNNNNNNNNNNNNNNNNNNNNNNNCCGAUCAUCACGUGAGAUGAGCUGGUUUUAAUGGUGAACAUCUUCAUGUUGAUCAUAUCUACUAUAUGACUCAUGUUCAACCUUUCGGUCUCUUGUGUUCCGAGGUCAUGUCUGUACAUGCUAGGUUUGUCAAGUUUAACCCAAGUGUUCCGCAUGUGCAAAACUAUCUUGCACCCGUUGUAUGNNNNNNNNNNNNNNNNNNNNNNNNNNNNNNNNNNNNNNNNNNNNNNNNNNNNNNNNNNNNNNNNNNNNNNNNNNNNNNNNNNNNNNNNNNNNNNNNNNNNGACCUAUCAUGGUGAUGUCCAUCUACGAGAGGGGAUGAGUGAUCUACGUACCCUUGUAGACCGUACAGCAGAAGCGUUAGUGAAUGCGGUUGAUGUAGUGGAACGUCCUCACGUCCCUCGAUCCGCCCCGCGAACUAUCCCGCGAUCAGUAACACGAUCUAGUGCCGAACGGACGGCACCUCCGCGUUCAGCACACGGACGGAAACCCUCGUGACGUCCGUGAUCUCAUCCGGGACUCCGAACAACAUUCGGUAACCAACCAUAUAACUCAAAUACACAUAAAACAACGUCGAACCUUAAGUGUGCAGACCCUGCGGGUUCGAGAACUAUGUAGACAUGACCCGAGAGACUCCUCGGUCAAUAUCCAAUAGCGGGACCUGGAUGCCCAUAUUGGAUCCUACAUAUUCUACGAAGAUCUUAUCGUUUGAACCUCAGUGCCAAGGAUUCAUAUAAUCCCGUAUGUCAUUCCCUUUGUCCUUCGGUAUGUUACUUGCCCGAGAUUCGAUCGUCAGUAUCCGCAUACCUAUUUCAAUCUCGUUUACCGGCAAGUCUCUUUACUCGUUCGGUAAUACAAGAUCCCGCAACUUACACUAAGUCACAUUGCUUGCAAGGCUUGUGUGUGAUGUUGCAUUACCGAGUGGGCCCCGAGAUACCUCUCCGUCACACGGAGUGACAAAUCCCAGUCUUGAUCCAUACUAACUCAACUAACACCUUCGGAGAUACCUGUAGAGCAUCUUUAUAGUCACCCAGUUACGUUGCGACGUUUGAUACACACAAAGUAUUCCCCCGGUGUCAGUGAGUUAUAUGAUCUCAUGGUCAUAGGAACAAAUACUUGACACGCAGAAAACAGUAGCAACAAAAUGACACGAUCAACAUGCUACGUCUAUUAUUUUGGGUCUAGCCCAUCACGUGAUUCUCCUAAUGACGUGAUCCAGUUAUCAAGCAACAACACCUUGUUCAUAAUCAGAAGACACUGACUAUCUUUGAUCAACUGGCUAGCCAACUAGAGGCUUGCUAGGGACAGUGUUUUGUCUAUGUAUCCACACAUGUAAAUGAGUCUUCAUUCAAUACAAUUAUAGCAUGGAUAAUAAACGAUUAUCUUGAUACAGGAAUUAUAAUAAUAACUAUAUUUAUUAUUGCCUCUAGGGCAUAAUUCCAACAGUCUCCCACUUGCACUAGAGUCAAUAAUCUAGCCCUCACAUCAUCAUGCGAAUUACAUUGUAAUAAAUCUAACACCCAUACAUUUCUAUUGUUGAUCAUGCUUUGGCCGUGGAAGAGGUUUAGUCAGCGGGUCUGCUACAUUCAGAUCCGUGUGCACUUUGCAUAUAUUUACGUCCUCUCCUUCGACGUAGUCGCGGAUGAGGUUGAAGCGUCGUUUGAUGUGUCUGGACUUCUUGUGAAACCGUGGUUCCUUUGCUAAGGCAAUGGCACCCGUGUUGUCACAGAACAAGGUUAUUGGAUUCAGUGCGCUUGGCACCACUCCAAGAUCCUUCAUGAACUGCUUCAUCUAGACACUCUCCUUAGCCGCCUCCGAGGCAGCCAUGUACUCCGCUUCACAUGUAGAAUCUGCUACGACGCUUUGCUUGGAACUGCACCAGCUUACUGCACCCCCAUUAAGAAUAAAUACGUAUCCGAUUUGCGACUUAGAGUCGUCUGGAUCUGUGUCAAAGCUUGCAUCGACGUAACCUUUUACGGCGAGCUCUUCGUCACCUCCAUACACGAGAAACAUCUCCUUAGUCCUUUUCAGGUACUUCAGGAUAUUCUUGACCGUUGUCCAGUGAUCCACUCCUGGAUUACUCUAGAACCUACCUGCCAUACUUAUGGCCAGGCUAACGUCCGGUCUAGUGCACACCACUGCAUACAUGAUAGAGCCUAUGGCUGAAGCAUAGGGGACGGAGCGCAUAUGCUCUCUAUCCUCAUCAGUUGCUGGGCACUGAGUCUUACUCCAUCUCGUACCUUGUAAAACUGGCAAGAACCCCUUCUUGGACUGUUCCAUUUUGAACCUCUUCAAAACUUUAUCAAGGUAUGUGCUUUGUGAAAGUCCUAUCAGACGUUUUGAUCUAUCCCUAUAGAUCUUAAUGCCUGGAAUGUAAGCAGCUUCUCCUAGGUCCUUCAUAGAGAAACUUUUAUUCAAGUAAUCCUUUAUGCUCUCCAAAAACUCUACAUUGUUUCCAAUCAGCAAUAUGUCAUCCACAUAUAAUAUUAGAAACGCCACAGAGCUCCCACUCACUUUCUUGUAAAUACAAGAUUCUCCAACCACUUGUAUAAACCCAAAUGCUUUGAUCACCUCAUCAAAGCGUUUGUUCCAACUCCGAGAUGCUUGCACCAGUCCAUAAAUGGAUCGCUGGAGCUUGCACACCUUGUUAGCAUUCUUAGGAUCGACAAAACCUUCGGGUUGCAUCAUAUACAAUUCUUCCUUAAGGAAACCGUUAAGGAACGCCGUUUUGACAUCCAUCUGCUAGACUUCAUAAUCGAAAAAUGCAGCUAUUGCUAACAUGAUUCUGACGGACUUAAGCAUCGCUACGGGUGAGAAUGUCUCAUCGUAGUCAACUCCUUGAACUUGUGAAAAACCCUUUGCCACAAGUCGAGCUUUAUAAACGGUCACAUUGCCGUCAGCGUCCGUCUUCCUCUUAAAGAUCCAUUUGUUCUGAAUAGCCUUGCGUCCCUCAGGCAGUACCUCCAAAGUCCACACUUUGUUCUCAUACAUGGAUCCUAUCUCGGACUUCAUGGCUUCUAGCCAUUUGUUGGAAUCUAGGCCCACCAUUGCUUCUUCAUAAUUUGCAGGUUCAUUGUUGUCCAACAACAUUAUUGACAAGACGGGAUUACCGUACCACUCUGGAACAACACGUAGUCUCGUCGACCUGCGUGGUUCGACAGAAACUUGAACCGGAGUUUCAUGAUCAUCAUCAUUAACUUCCUCCUCAACCGGCGUCGCAACGACAGAGGUUUCCCCUUGCCCUGCGCCACCAUCCAGAGGGAUGAGAGGUUCGACAACCUCGUCAAGUUCUAUCUUCCUCCCACUCAAUUCUCUCGAGAGAAACUCCUUCUCGAGAAAAGCUCCGUUUUUAGCAACAAACACUUUGCCCUCGUAUUUGAGAUAGAAGGUGUACCCAACUGUCUCUUUUGGGUAACCUAUGAAGACGCACUUUUCCGCUUUGGGUUCCAGCCUUUCAGGCUGAAGCUUUUUGACAUAAGCAUCACAUCCCCAAACUUUAAGAAACGACAACUUUUGCCUUUUGCCAUACCACAGUUCGUAUGGUGUCGUCUCAACGGAUUUUGAUGGUGCCCUAUUUAAAGUGAAUGCAGUUGUUUCUAAUGCAUAACCCCAAAACGAUAACGGCAAAUCGGUAAGAGACAUCAUAGAUCGCACCAUCUCUAAUAAAGCACGAUUACGACGUUCGGACACACCAUUACGCUGUGGUGUUCCAGGCGGUGUCAACUGUGAAACAAUUCCACAUUGUCUUAAGUGAGCACCAAACUCGAAACUCAGAUAUUCACCCCCAUGAUCAGACCGUAGGAACUUGAUCUUCUUGUUACGAUGAUUUUCAACUUCACUCUGAAAUUGCUUGAACUUUUCAAAUGUUUCAGACUUGUGCUUCAUCAAGUAGACAUAACCAUAUCUACUCAAAUCGUCAGUGAAGGUGAGAAAAUAAUGAUAUCCGCCGCGUGCCUCCACGCUCAUCGGACCACACACAUCGGUAUGUAUGAUUUCCAACAAGUCACUUGCACGCUCCAUUGUUCCGGAGAACGGAGUCUUAGUCAUCUUGCCCAUGAGGCAUGGUUCGCACGUGUCAAGUGAAUCAAAGUCAAGUGACUCCAAAAGUCCAUCAGCAUGGAGUUUCUUUAUGCGCUUUACACCAAUAUGACCUAAGCGGCAGUGCCACAAAAAGAUGGCGCUAUCAUUGUUAACUCUAACUAUUUUGGUCUCAAUGUUAUGUAUGUGUGUAUCGCUAUCAAGAUUCAAUAUGAACAAUCCUCUCACAUUGGGUGCAUGACCAUAAAAGAUGUUACUCAUAGAAAUAGAACAACCAUUAUUCUCUGACUUAAAAGAGUAACCGUCUCGCAAUAAACAAGAUCCAGAUAUAAUGUUCAUGCUCAACGCAGGCACUAAACAACAAUGAUUUAUGUUCUUAACUAAUCCUGAUGGUAACUGAAGUGAAACUGUGCCGACGGCGAUUGCAUCAACCUUGGAACCAUUUCCUACGCGCAUCGUCACUUCAUCUUUCGCCAGCAUUCGUCUAUUCUGCAGUUCCUGUUUCGAGUUGCAAAUAUGAGCAACAGAACCGGUAUCGAAUACCCAGGCAUUACUGCGAGAGCCGGUUAAGUACACAUCAAUAACUUGUAUAUCAAAUAUACCUGAUUUUUCUUUGGCCGCCUUCUUAUCUGCCAGAUACUUGGGGCAAUUGCGCUUCCAGUGACCCAUACCCUUGCAAUAGUAACACUCCGUUUCAGGCUUAGGUCCAGCUUUGGGUUUCUUCGUCGGAUUGGCAACAGGCUUGCCGCUCUUCUUUGAAUUACCCUUCUUGCCUUUGCCGUUUCUCUUGAAACUAGUGGUCUUACUCACCAUCAACACUUGAUGCUCUUUACGGAGUUCAGACUCUGCGACUUUUAGCAUCGCAAACAACUCGCCGAGAGACUUGUUCAUCCCUUGCAUGUUGUAGUUCAACACAAAGCUUUUAUAGCUUGGCGGCAGUGAUUGAAGGAUUCUGUCAGUGAUAGCCUCUUGCGGGAGUUCAAUCCCUAGCUCAGCUAGACGGUUUGAGUACCCAGACAUUUUGAGCACAUGUUCACUAACAGACGAGUUUUCCUCCAUCUUGCAAGCAUAGAAUUUAUCGGAGGUCUCAUACCUCUCGAUCCGGGCGUUCUUCUAAAAGAUAAACUUCAACUCCUGGAACAUCUCAAAUGCUCCAUGACGCUCAAAGCGACGUUGAAGUCCCGGUUCUAAGCCAUACAAGACUGCACAUUGAACUACUGAGUAGUCCUCCUUACGUGCUAACCAAGCGUUCUUAACAUCCUGAUCAGCCGUAGCGGGUGGUUCAUCUCCUAGCGCAGCAUUAAGGACAUAAUCCUUCCUUCCAGCUUGUAAGAUUAGCUUAAGAUUACGAGCCCAGUCUACAAAGUUGCUUCCAUCAUCUUUCAACUUAGCUUUCUCUAGGAACGUAUUAAAAUUCAGGGUGACUGUCGCGUGAGCCAUGAUCUACAACACAAAUAUAUUCAAAGUGGACUUAGACUAUGUUCAAGAUAAUUAGAGUUUAACUUAAUCAAAUUAUUCGCUAAACUCCCACUCAAAAAGUACAUCUCUCUAGUCAUUUGAGUGGUUCAUGAUCCACUUACACUAGCUCAAGUCCGAUCAUCACGUGAGUUGAGUAUAGUUUCAGUGGUAAGCAUCCCUAUGCUAAUCAUAUCAUCUAUAUGAUUCAUGAUCGACCUUUCGGUCUCAUGUGUUCCGAGGCCAUGUCUGCACAUGCUAGGCUCGUCAAGCUUAACCCGAGUGUUCCGCGUGCGCAACUGUUUUGCACCCGUUGUAUGUGAACGUUGAGUCUAUCACACCCGAUCAUCACGUGGUGUCUCGAAAGGACGAACUGUAGCAACGGUGCACAGUCGGGGAGAACACAAUUUCGUCUUGAAAUUUUAGUGAGAGAUCACCUCAUAAUGCUACCGUCGUUCUAAGCAAAAUAAGGUGCAUAAAAGGAUUAACAUCACAUGCAAUUCAUUAGUGACAUGAUAUGGCCAUCAUCACGUGCUUCUUGAUCUCCAUCACCAAAGCACCGGCACGAUCUUCUUGUCACCGGCGCCACACCAUGAUCUCCAUCAACGUGUCGCCAUCGGGGUUGUCGUGCUACUCAUGCUAUUACUACUAAAGCUACAUCCUAGCAAAAUAGUAAACGCAUCUGCAAGCACAAACAUUAGUAUAAAGACAACCCUAUGGCUCCUGCCGGUUGCCGUACCAUCGACGUGCAAGUCGAUAUUAUCUAUUACAACAUGAUCAUCUCAUACAUCCAAUAUAUCACAUCACAUCGUUGGCCAUAUCACAUCACAAGCAUACCCUGCAAAAACAAGUUAGACGUCCUCUUAUUUUGUGGUUGCAUGUUUUACGUGGUGACCAUGGGUAUCUAGUAGGAUCACAUCUUACUUACACAAACACCACAACGGAGAUAUAUGAGUUGCUAUUUAACCUCAUCCAAGGACCUCCUCGGUCAAAUCCGAUUCAACUAAAGUUGGAGAAACCGACACUUGCCAGUCAUCUUUGAGCAACGGGGUUACUCGUAGCGAUGAAACCAGUCUCUCGUAAGCGUACGAGUAAUGUCGGUCCAAGCCGCUUCAAUCCAACAAUACCGCGGAAUCAAGAAAAGACUAAGGAGGGCAGCAAAACACACAUCACCGCCCACAAAAACUUUUGUGUUCUACUCGAGAAGACAUCUACGCAUGAACCUAGCUCAUGAUGCCACUGUUGGGGAACGUCGCAUGGGAAACAAAAAUGUUCCUACGCGCACGAAGACCUAUCAUGGUGAUGUCCAUCUACGAGAGGGGAUGAGUGAUCUACGUACCCUUGUAGACCGUACAGCAGAAGCGUUAGUGAACGCGAUUGAUGUAGUGGAACGUCCUCACGUCCCUCGAUCCGCCCCGCGAACUAUCCCGCGAUCAGUCCCACGAUCUAGUGCCGAACGGACGGCACCUCCGCGUUCACCACACGUACAGCUCGACGAUGAUCUCGGCCUUCUUGAUCCAGCAAGAGAGACACAGAGGUAGAAGAGUUCUCCGGCAGCGUGACGGCGCUCCGGAGGUUGGUGAUGACCUUGUCUCAGCAGGGCUCCUCCCGAGCUCCACAGAAACGCGAUCUAGAGGAAAAACCGUGGAGGUAUGUGGUCGGGCUGCCGUGGAAAAGUCGUCUCAAAUCAGCCCUAAAACCUCCGUAUAUAUAUGUGGUAGAGGGGGGGGCCUUGCCUUGGGGCUCAAGGAGCCCCAAGGGGGUCGGCCGAGCCAAGGGGGGAAGGUCUCCCCCCCCCCAAACCGAGUUGGACUUGGUUUGGUGGGUGGGAGUCCUUCCUUCCCUUCCCACCUCCUUNNNNNNNNNNNNNNNNNNNNNNGCAUAGGGCCCUUUUGGGCUGUCCCACCAGCCCACUAAGGGCUGGUGCGCCACCCUCAAGGCCUAUGGGCUUCCCCGGGGUGGGUUGCCCCCCCCCCCCGGUGAACUCCCGGAACCCAUUCGUCAUUCCCGGUACAUUCCCGGUAACUCCGAAAACCUUCCGGUAAUCAAAUGAGGUCAUCCUAUAUAUCAAUCUUCGUUUCCGGACCAUUCCGGAAACCCUCGUGACGUCCGUGAUCUCAUCCGGGACUCCGAACAACAUUCGGUAACCAACCAUAUAACUCAAAUACGCAUAAAACAACGUCGAACCUUAAGUGUGCAGACCCUGCGGGUUCGAGAACUAUGUAGACAUGACCCGAGAGACUCCUCGGUCAAUAUCCAAUAGCGUGACCUGGAUGCCCAUAUUGAAUCCUACAUAUUCUACGAAGAUCUUAUCGUUUGAACCUCAGUGCCAAGGAUUCAUAUAAUCCCGUAUGUCAUUCCCUUUGUCCUUCGGUAUGUUACUUGCCCGAGAUUCGAUCGUCAGUAUCCGCAUACCUAUUUCAAUCUCGUUUACCGGCAAGUCUCUUUAGUCGUUCGGUAAUACAAGAUCCCGCAACUUACACUAAGUCACAUUGCUUGCAAGGCUUGUGUGUGAUGUUGCAUUACCGAGUGGGCCCCGAGAUACCUCUCCGUCACACGGACUGACAAAUCCCAGUCUUGACCCAUACUAACUCAACUAACACCUUCGGAGAUACUUGUAGAGCAUCUUUAUAGUCACCCAGUUAUGUUGCGACGUUUGAUACACACAAAGUAUUCCUCCGGUGUCAGUGAGUUAUAUGAUCUCAUGGUCAUAGGAACAAAUACUUGACACGCAGAAAACAGUAGGAACAAAAUGACACGAUCAACAUGCUACGUCUAUUAUUUUGGGUCUAGUCCAUCACGUGAUUCUCCUAAUGACGUGAUCCAGUUAUCAAGCAAGAACACCUUGUUCAUAAUCAGAAGACACUGACUAUCUUUGAUCAACUGGCUAGCCAACUAGAGGCUUGCUAGGGACAGUGUUUUGUCUAUGUAUCCACACAUGUAAAUGAGUCUUCAUUCAAUACAAUUAUAGCAUGGAUAAUAAACGAUUAUCUUGAUACAGGAAUUAUAAUAAUAACUAUAUUUAUUAUUGCCUCUAGGGCAGAAUUCCAACAAUUUCAUCAUAUAAAGAUUGAGGUAUUGCACUAACACUAGCACCCACGUCACAUAAACCAUGAUAACAAUGAUCUCCUAUCUUAACAGAAACAACAAGCGUGCCAACAACAAGCUUAGCAAUUCUAGCAGCAUCUUCACAGAAGUGAAUAUCAUGGCCAUCAACAUUGUCGGACAUGAGAUUUUUGAUAAUAGCAAUGCUAGGUUCAAUUCUAAUUUGCUCAGGGGGUGUAGGUGUUCUGAUGUAGCCCCUACGUAUCACAGUUGAAGCUUUAGAAUGAUCCUUUAUUCUAACAGGGAAAGGUGGUUUCUCAAUGUAAGCACUAGGAACAAUAGGAUCAUUAUAAGCAAUGACUUUCUCUUCAACUGGAUUGGGUUUAACUACAUUGACUUCUAAGGGAGGAUGAUAUUUAAACCACUUCUCUUUAGGGAGAUCAAUAUGAGCAGCAAAUGAUUCACAUAAUGAUGCUACUAUUUCAGAGUCAAGUUCAUAUUUAGCGCUAAAAUCACAAAAAGUAUUUGUUUCAACAAAGGAUUUAACACAAUCGAACUUAAGAUUCAUACCUGACUCCUUACCUUCAUCACACUCCCAAUCUUCAGAGUUGCAUUUAAUUCUUUCCAAUAAAUUCCAUUUGAAAUCAAUAUCUCUCUUCAUAAAAGAACCGGUACAAGAAGUGUCAAGCAUGGUGCGAUUAUCAUGAGAAAGCCGAGCAUAAAAGUUCUGAAUAAUAAUUUCUCUCGAGAGCUCAUGGUUGGGGCAUGAAUAUAACAUUGAUUUAAGCCUCUCCCAAGCUUGAGCGAUACUUUCUCUAUCACGAGGCCAAAAAUUAUAGAUAUAAUUCCGAUAACGAUGUACCAAAUGCAUAGGAUAAAACUUUUGAUGAAAUUCCAAUUUCAAUCGGUUGUAGUUCCAUGAUCCAGUAUCAUCACAUAGCCUAUACCAUGUCAAUGCUUUAUCCCCCAAAGAUAAGGGAAAGACCUUCUUCUUGACCUCAUCCUCGGGCAAACCUGCAAGCUUAAAUAAACCACAAACUUCAUCUACAUAGAUCAGAUGCAAGUCGGGAUGUGAUGUUCCAUCUCUUGUAAAAGGAUUAGCCAACAAUUUCUCUAGCAUACCCGAAGGGAUUUCAUAACAAGUAUUUUCAGUAGGUGCAGCAGGUUGAGGAGCAACUCCUUGUGCUUCUGUUCGAGGUGAAGAUACCCCGAACAAGCUCCUCAAAGGAUUAGUUUCCAUAGUGACAAGUGACAAUAAAUUUCAGCACACUAUAUAAAUGUUUACUUACCAAAUUCACUUACCAAAGGCGCUUCACUCCCCGCCAACGGCGCCAGAAAAGAGUCUUGAUGACCCACAAGUGUAGGGGAUCUAUCGUAGUCCUUUCGAUAAUUAAGAGUGUCGAACCCAACGAGGAGCAGAAGGAUCCGACAAGUGGUUUUCAGCAAGGUAUUCUCUGCAAGCACUGAAAUUAUCGGUAAUAGAUAGUUGUGUGGUAAGAUGAUUCGUAGAAAGUAGCAAGUAACAAUAGUGACAAAGGUGCAGCAAAGUGGCCCAAUCCCUUUUGUAACAAGGGACAAGCCUGGACAAACUCUUAUAGGAGGUAAAGCGCUCCCGAUGACACAUGGGAAUUUCUGUCAAGCUAGUUUUCAUCAUGUUCAAAUGAUUCGCGUUCGCUACUUUGAUAGUUUGAUAUGUGGGUGGACCGGUGCUUGGGUGCUACCCUUACUUGGACAAACAUCUCACUCAUAAUUAACCCCUCUCACAAGCAUCCGCAACUACGAAAGAAGAAUUAAGACUAAGUCUAACCAUAGCAUAAAACUAGUGGAUCCAAAUCAGCUCCUUACGAAGCAACGCAUAAACUAGGGUUUAAGCUUCUGUCACUCUAGCAACCCAUCAUCUACUUAUUACUUCACAAUGCCUUCCUCUAGGCCCAAAUAAUGGUGAAGUGUUAUGUAGUUGACGUUCACAUAACACCACUAGAGAAAAGACAACAUACAACGCAUCAAAAUAUCGAACGAAUACCAAAUGCACAUGACUACUUAUAGCAAAACUUAUCACAUGUCCUCAGGAACAAAAGUGACUACUCACAAAACAUAAUUAUGUUCAUGACUAGAGAGGUAUUGAAUAGCAUCAAGGAUCUGAACAUAUAAUCUUCCACCGAGUAAUCCAACUAGCAUCAACUACAAAGAGUAAUUAACACUACUAGCAACCUUACAAGUACCAAUUGGAGUCGCGAGACGGAGAUUGGUUACAAGAGAUGAACUAGGGUUUAGAGAUGAGAUGGUGCUGAUGAAGAUGUUGAUGAUGAUGAGUCCCCUCAGCCGAGAGGAGUGUUGGUAAUGACGAUGGCGACGAUUUCCCCCUCCGGGAGGGAAGUUUCCCCGGCAGGACGACCCUGCCGGAGCUCUAGAUUGGUUCUGCUCAAGUUCCGCCUCGUGGCGGCGACGACUCCUCCCGAAAGCCUCCUCUUGAUUUUUUCUGGGACGAAACCCUCCUUAUAGCAAAAGAUGGGAGCUAGAGGGGCAACAGGGGGCCCACAAGCCACCUAGGCGUGACCAGGGGGGUAGGUCGCGCCUGGCAGGCUUGUGGCCUCCUGGUGGCUCCCCUUUGGUACUUCUUCCGUCCAGUAUUUUCUAUAAAUUCCAAAAUAAUUCCUCGUUGAUUUUCACGGCUUUUGGAGUUGCGCAGAAUAGGUAUCUCAAACUUGCUCCUUUUUCAGACCAGAAUUCAAGCUGUCGGCAUUCUCCCUCUUCAUGUAAACCUUAUCAAAUAAGAGAGAAAAGGCAUAAGUAUUGUACCGUGAAGUGUAAUAACAGCCCAUAAAGCGAUAAAUAUCAACAUAAAAGCAUGGUGCAAAAUGGACGUAUCAGUCAUCUUGUAAGCCAACUUAUUUUUGGUAUGUGGCUUGGUUUUCUUCUUUGGUGCUCUCUUCCGCUUUGGAGAACGCUGAAGCGGCCGAGAUCAAUAUCCAGAACUCGUGCUGGGCUACGUCUCGGGGUGGGGUACUAGAGUCGGUUCACGCGUCAUCUCCGACGUGGACUCGCGCUAGGCUUCAUGAUAUCGAGGUGGGGUACUUGAGUCAUCUCAUGAGGCGCAGAUCGACAUGGACUCGUGCUGGGAUCUAUGAUAUCGAUGUGGAGUACUGGAGUCGGCUCACGCUGCGGAGAUCGAGGUGUAUUGCUACUCGGGGGAGUCGGUGGCCUUGGCGCCGAGUUUGGAAAGACGAUGGAUUUGUUUCUCCAUAAAAUGACAGAAUGUGCGACUUCUCCCAGUCUCUCCUCCCCUUCACCUCCAAGAAUGUCAAGCUCCAGUGACUUAUAUUGUGGCAAAAUAUUUUCCACCCCGACUUUAGCAUAGCCAGUUGGAAUCGGAUUGCCAUGGAUGGUUGCUCCAGGUUCAAUCGGUAUAGCAAAGACGGCCGCGACCUUCACGGAUAUGUUCUUCAUUUUUUGGUGUAGCUCACAACUUGCCCUCUCUUUGAUAUCAUCCACGGGGUAGCGAGCCAGGAGUGCAUCAUCGGCCAGGACCCGUGUGGAACCCACGCUGCUUUUCCGCAUAAAUGGGAUAGCAAUAUCAUCCAAUGACGGAUCUACUUGCUCCAGCCGCUGAGAUACCCUUUGCUGGCUAAUUGUGUCUAGUUGCUCCUAUUGGUGCUUUAAUAUGCGGUAUAAAUCCUGGUUGCUUAUUUCUGCCCUUUGAAUCUCGUCUGCAUCCUGCUUCUUCUUUCUCGCACGACUUUUGUAAGUGUCCUUCCACUCCGCAAACCCCUCAAACCACGGAACAACGCAUUUGCCUCGUGUUUGUCCCGGGUGUUCAGAAUUCCCGUGGGCGCGUGUAAGCUCGUCGUUCUCUCUAUCGGCUUGGAACGCCCCCGUUGUAGCAUCUUCUAUUUCUUGAAUUAAAGCAUCGCAGGCCUCUUUAAGAUUUUCCUUUUCAAUAAUCUCCCAUGUCUUUGGGUCCAACUUUCCCCCAUGCGCAUAAAAUCAACUCCUCGACCUGUUGCAGGUCCAAGCCUCUGUUUUUGGAUUGACCCCUGCAGCAACCAUCUUGGCCUUAGAUUCUUCCCACUUAGGCAGGGUAGACUUGUAGCCAUCUGGACGCAGAACAUGGUGAAACUAACUCCUAAUCUUCCAUUGGCUUAUUCCAUUCUUGAAUGAUGAUCGGGAUAUUGUCCCUAACAAUAACUCCGCAUUGAGAUAUAAAUUUGCGGGAAUUGUUUGCAGGAGAAAUCGGUUUGCCAUCUGCUUUGACUUGAUCGAUGUUGUACUUUAUGCCAUCGGGCAACUUUUUGGCCUUGCCUCGUACUACCCAUGUAAAAGAUUUUCUCGAUCAUGAGGGCUCAAAGAAGAAAGUUUCAUUAAUAUAUAUAUAAAUAUCAAUUAAUACAUGUAAUGAGAUCACCAGAUGCCUUAUGUGUGUGUGUGNNNNNNNNNNNUAUAUAUAUAUAUAGCAUUUCCUUCGCCAUCAUCGUUUGUGUGCCCUUCGUCUCUUUGUUCUUCCUCAAAUAUUCCCUCACCGGAAUCGUUUAGAUAUUAUGAGCCAUCAUCUACUUCUUUCUCUGGCUUUUGGAACCGUCUCAUGUCGAAGAGCAGAUCCUCUUGAUCUUAGUCGUAUCUGCCGCUAUCGUCCAUAGCUUAACUAAUCCAGAAGAAAGAUAAAACAAUUUAGUAUUCAAAUUAGAAAGCAUUCAAUAAGCAAAUUAGAAUGCAUUCAAUAAACAAAUUAGUCCAUAGGUUAACUAAUACAUCUCGAAUAAUACAGAUAAUGCAUCAUUGCACAUUAUCACUAAUACAUCUCGAGUACUAUCAUAUAAUCUCACUAAUCCAACUCGAAUAAUAACAAAUAAUCCAGUUGACUCGCGGUUCCUCAUCAAACUGAUCACCAAAAUAGCAGCCGUUGUAUUAAGUCGCGGGCGGUGGACACUCAAAUAGAAGGAACCUUCACAAGACCAUAGCUCGGGUGAGAUCCCUGAAGAACUUGCCACAUAUUGGAGAAUCUUAUUGGAAAUAUGCCCUAGAGGCAAUAAUAAAAUGGUUAUUAUCAUAUUUACUUGUUCAUGAUAAUCGUCUAUUGUUCAUGCUAUAACUGUAUUAACAGGCCCCCCCCCCCCCCAUAAAUAGAUCGCAAUGUGUCCCUAGCAAGCCUCUAGUUGGCUAGCUCGUUGAUCAAUAGAUGAUCAUGGUUUCUUGAUCAUGGACAUUGGAUGUCAUUGAUAACGGGAUCACAUCAUUAGGAGAAUGAUGUGAUGGACAAGACCCAAUCCUAAGCAGAGUACUAGAUCGUGUUCUUCGUAUGCUAAAGCUUUUCUAAUGUCAAGUGUCUUUUCCUUUGACCGUGAGAUUGUGCAACUCCCGGAUACCGUAGGAGUGCUUUGGGUGUAUCAAACGUCACAACAUAACUGGGUGACUAUAAAGGUGCACUACGGGUAUCUCCGAAAGUGUCUGUUGGGUUGGCACAAAUCGAGAUCGAGAUUUGUCACUCCGUGUGACGGAGAGGUAUCUCUGGGCCCACUCGGUAGAACAUCAUCAUAAUGAGCUCAAUGUGACUAAGGAGUUAGUCAUGGGAUGACGUGCUACGGAAUGAGUAAAGUGACUUACCGGUAACGAGAUUGAACAAGGUAUAGGUAUACCGACAAUCGAAUCUCGGGCAAGUUCUAUACCGACAGACAAAGGGAAUUGUGUACGGGAUUGAUUGAAUCCUUGAAAUUGUGGUUCAUCCGAUGAGAUCAUCGUGGAACAUGUGGGAACCACCAUGGGUAUCCAGACCCCGUUGAUGGUUAUUGGCCGGAAAGGUGUCUCGGUGAUGUCUGCAUGCCUCCCGAACCCAUAGGGUCUACACACUUAAGGUUCGAUGACACUAGGGUUAGAGGGAAUUAUUAUACAAGGUUACCGAAGGUUAUUCAGAGUCCCGGAUGAGAUCCCGGACAUCACGAGGAGCUCCGGAAUGGUCCGGAGGUAAAGAUUGAUAUAUAGGAUGGAUGGGUUUGGACGCCGGAAAUGUUUCGGACACCACAUGCAACGUGUCGGGACCACCGGAAGGGUUCCGGAGGUCCACAGGGAGGGGCCACCAGCCCCAGGAGGCUACAUGGGCCAAGUGUGAGAGGGAACCAGCCCCUGGGUGGGCUGGUGUGCCCCCCACACCCAGCACAAGGCGCCCAAGAGAGGGAAGGGGGGAACCCUAGCGCUGGUGGGCCUAAGGCCCACCAGGGGGUGCGCCACCCCCUCCUCCCCUCCUGGACGCCACCUCCUACCCCCAUCUAGGGCUGCCGCACCCCUUAGGAGUGGGAACCCUAAGGAGGGCGCCACCCUUCCCUUCCCCCUAUAUAUAGCGGGGGGUUUGGCCAUUGGAGAUAUGGGGAUUUCUCUCUCUCUCGGCGCAGCCCUGCUCUUCUUCUUCCUGCUCUCCCACGAUGCUUGGCGAAGCCUUGCCGGGAGACCUCGUCGCUCCAUCGCCACCACGCCGUCGUGAUGCCGGAGGUCUUCCCCAACCUCUCCCUCCUCCUUGUUGGAUCAAGGUGCGGAAGACGUCACCGGGCUGCACAUGUGUUGAACGCGGAGGUGCCGUGGUUCGGCACUAGAUCGGAAUCACACCACGAUCUGAAUCGCCGCGAGUACGACUCCAUCAACCGCGUUCUAGCAACGCUUCCGCUUAGCGAUCUUCAAAGGUAUGAAGAUGCUCUCAUCCCUCUCUCGUUGCUGGUCUCUCCAUAGGAACAUCUGAAUAUGGCGUAGGAAAAUUUUGAAUUUAUGCUACGUUCCCCAACAAACCUGACGUCCAACGCAACGAUGUAGAGACGGACGUGCUCGUCCUCCUCCCGGACAUGGCGACGUAUCACCUCCUCGGGGGCCGGCUGACUGCGCACCGAUAGUGGCCCACGUGGCCACCACCAAAGAAGCUCCGGGUUGACGAUGAAACCCACAUCCCUCACCAAGCUGCGCGCCCUAGAAGGUAGCACCUCCCAGUGACAGCCUGGCGGAGCCCAAUCCCGGACAUGGCGCCUCUUAAGGAUGUCGCUGCCGAAUCGACAACGAGAAUGCGUGCCGCGCAUCCUGGACGUCGAGACCACAAAUUCUUAUGAAAUAGUUAUCAUUUCAUUGUGCUACUCAUAUUUUUAUCUAAAUGAUUAUUAAAACAACUUAAAACAAUUAAAACAAAAAAAACUAGCACUAAACCUAUAAAGGGCUAAAAUAGUACUAUUUUGUUUAAAAUCUAAAUUUAAUUAAUUCUAAAAAUACUCACAUUAAACCUACUGAUAAAACAAUCCAAUACAAAACAGCAUGAACAAGAAUUUACACUUCAAACUAGGGAAAAAGCAUAGUGCUAAUAUCACCUACUAAUAACAUCACAAUGUAUAUCAUCGGAUUUAAAAGGAGACAACUCAUACAUGUCCAAAUAUCAUCGGAUUUUAGAUCUUGACAUAUUUUUUAGUGACAUCAGCACAGGAGCCCCCCCCCCCCCGAGGUGGACAUUUAGCUCACCGACUGGAGUGGAGAGAAAGUAUAGGAAGCUUCGACAACAGUCACUCCAGGGAGAGACGCGACCCUAGAAAGCCUGCAUACUCCACCAAGUGAAAAAUUAAGAUCAUCAAAUCUCAUAUAGCAAUCUUUGGUGAUAAAGUGAUUAUGAUAUAAAAAUAAUUAAAUGGUCCAACACAUUUUUAUAUGCAAAAAACCCUAUUCUAUCCGUACCUAAUACAUUUCUAUAGUCAAAAAACUAUUCAACACCUAAAAUAUUUAAAGGUAUUUUCUAUUCUAUCACACACUUUUUUACUAAGAAUUAACUAAGCAGCAACAAUGUCCCAACCUAAGAAGAAACUAAGCAACAAAUACUCAAAAAAAACUAGUUAAUUUGUAUCCUAGCUAAUUUGUCCUAUGAAUUAAUUAACCGAUCCUAGUGCUCAACUCAUACAUUCAUUCGUAUAUAAAUUUUUUUGCGAGAACAUUCAUUUGUAUAUACUUUUUUGCGAGAACAUCCAUAUAUUCAUCCAUGCAUGAGGCGGCGGGGGCGGCGGCNNNNNNNNNNNNNNNNNNNNNNNNNNNNNNNNNNNNNNNNNNNNNNNNNNNNNNNNNNNNNNNNNNNNNNNNNNNNNNNNNNNNNNNNNNNNNNNNNNNNNNNNNNNNNNNNNNNNNNNNNNNNNNNNNNNNNNNNNNNNNNNNNNNNNNNNNNNNNNNNNNNNNNNNNNNNNNNNNNNNNNNNNNNNNNNAGAGGGGAGGUACCGGUGUUGCCGAGGAGAGAUGCGGCGACGGCGACGGAGGAGACCCACGAGGAGGAGGGCGACGUCGAGGAGCGGCAACGCGAAUGCGUCGGUGCGAUUUUGGGUAGCCUGGCAGGAUCGAGUGAUCCUUCUCCCAGGCGGUGGCUCGCACUGGGAGAAGAAACAGUUAUAUAGGGCCACCCUUUAGUCCCGGUUCCAUGCACGAACUGGGACUAAAGGUCCUUUCGUCCCGGCUUGUGGCUGCAACUGGGACUGAAGGGUGGCCUGUUUUCAGGCCCAAAUUAACCCCGGGGAGGAGGACCUUUAGUCCCGGCUCGUUGUGGCAACCGGGACUAAAGUUUUUUUUUCAUGUUUUCUGUUUUUGUUCUUUUCCUUUAUUAUUUUACUUUUGUUUCUCCUUACAGCCAAAUAUUUAGGAUUUUGGGGUGAAUCUUUUGGCUUUAGGUCAAAAAAUAUAUUAAUUUUAUGUUAGUUCCAGUAGUUUUCAAAUUUGAAUAGUUUAAAUUUGAAUUCUUUGAAAUUUGUGUGAAUCACUACUUUGUAAAUAAUUUUAGUUUAAAAAUAGAUUUUUUGUGUUCUUCUUUUUCCUGUUGUUUAAUAUUAGCGUAUUUUAUCAGUGUUCAAUUUGGAAUUUUUAGAAUAUUUUAAAUACGUGUUUUAAUCAAAAAAAGAUUAUGUUUUGCUCUUUUAGUUUUAUACCUUUUUCCUUUGUUUUAAUUAUUUGAUAGAUUCUAUUUAUAGAUGGAAAUUAUUUUUUGUAGAACACAUAACAAUUUGAAACUAAACCAAAAGAGUUGAUUCAAAUUUUUGUGGAUUCAUCUUGAAGAUUUCUAUCAACUACAUAAUAUCAUUUUGAGAGGAAAUUGUAUAAUAAAUUUUGCACUUAUUAAUUUGAAAAUCACUAUAAAUGAACUCUGAAAAGGUUGAAAUUUGGCAUUGCAUCAUCAUUUCACCCAUAUAGCAUGUGCUAUAAAGUUGAGAGGGUUACGACAAAAACUGGAUGCACUUUGUGUACAACCUGGACAAUCUCAUUCGAAGUAUGAGGGUUUCGGAAGAAUACUCAUCUGUUACGAAGACAUUUCAUUUUUUAUGCUUAGUUCAACUCCAGACUUUUUAUGUGUUCAAUAUGCACCAUUCAAAGCCACCUCAUCAAUUUUCGACCUUUUCUGACUUCAUUUACUAUUUUUCAUGCAUCUAAUGAUUUUGUUUAGCUAAAUGAUCUUAAAAUUAAAAAUAAUUAUAAAUGAACUCUAAAAAGGUUGAAAUUUGGCAUGGUAUCAUUAUUUCACCCACAUGGUGCAAUAAUAUUAUGCUCCAUUCAUUCUUAAAUAUAAGUCUUUCAAAAAAAGUUACUAUAAACUACAUACAAAUGUAUAUACACAUACUUUAGAGUAUGGAUUCACUCAUUUUGUUUUGUAUGUAGUCUGUAGUGGUACCUCUAGAAAGAGCUAUAUGAGUAUAGACAUACUUUAGAGUAUAUGCAGUGCGUCCGUAAAAUCUAUAGACCGGCAUCCAUCAAAAAACACUAUAGCAAUUACUCCACUUGCCUGACCGAGAUCCAUGUGUAUCUUUCCAAGUAUUCAGUAAUAAAACAGAGUAUUGCACUAAAUAAAAUAACAUACUGUUAAUAAUAUAUUCCCCUCACCUCUAACUCAUCACUAGGAUACCGAUUAAAUACAUCUAGUAUCCAAUCAAAAACUUGAAAUGACGGCAGCUGCAGACAACUAUUUCCUUAAAAGCAUCAUCGGUAAGAUAUUCAUUGGUACCAUCCAAGGAUGACAAGAAUUUUCACAUUCAUCUUGAGAAGCUUCAAAAAUACAUGGUGAACAUGGAGAGGUACUUCAUUCUUUCAUAUUACUACCAUCCAAAAUACCCAAGCCACAUCUGAAUUUCUAAAUUCCAUGCCAACAUACGGUACCAAAUCAGGCAAUACCAUACAUCUAUACAAUGUAAAAAAUAACAUGAACAUGUGGCUUAUAAAAGUGUGGAGAAAAUAUGACUAAAAGUAUUGAAAAGGGAAUUCUGGAAGGGAACAAGCAAAUAAUACCGGUACUUGGAGAUGACAAAAAAAAUUCAAGUAAAACCAGUGAGAUCUCAUGCAAAGCCAAUGUACGUACUCGGAAUAAGAAAAACUACUUAUUGGAAUUUUAAUCUCAGUUGCUUCUUCCAUGAGGUUGAAGAUGAUAAUGCACCACAGCAGAGCAACACGUGAGUACGCGUGGAGAUAAGAAUGGCUUCAGUUCGCACAUGAUUUGCCUUGCGAGCCUCUCCAAGUUCCAGCUUUCCAAAUUUAGCUGCACAGAUCUGUACUAUAGCAAGUGGUCGCAUGAAGAAUGAAACAAGGUACCAAGGGGUUAUUAGUAAAGGUUAUCUUUGUCGAUGCCACCUUGAUCAGCUAGGCUGGAGAAUAUUUGGGACGUGGGUGGAUCAUGCCAUGGUUGCCUGUUGAAGUAGGUGAGCCGUCGGCGUUCUUCGCUCCCCGUGUCGGAUGUUGUCGGCAACGGUCGCUAACCAGGCAUGGCCACACAUCUCUUCUGAUAUAUAUGGUGAGACCCGUUGAGCCACUAACUUUCUUUUAUAAACGAAGAAGGAAACAGCUUAAUUACACCAAGCCUCGCCAAAUCAUAUCGAAUCGACCUCGUGAGCCAUGCGUUGGCCGAUGUUUAUUGUAAGCUGUUAAGUUCCAUGUUUAUUUUAUACAGAACAGGAGCCUCGCCAAAUCAUAUUGAAUCGACCUCGUGAGCCAUGCCUUGGCCAAUGGAAGCGAGACCUGAUAACACAGCGAGCCAUGCCUCCACCACCAUUAGCUCAAAGGUGGUAAGCACGUACUUGCUCUACCGCCCGUUUUAAUAAGUUUCUAAGCACGUCAUUGCCCAGGUCCAUGCUCUCAAGCUGCAUGCUCCGGCUUGAGCCUGCACAGGGCGUUGAAGUUGCUGGCACCAGUGGUAAAGUAUCUGCGUUUGCUAUUAAUGAAGCGCAUGAAAAAAAUAAAGAACCACACCAGUCAACAUGCUUGCGUGGCACUUUUUUUUUUUGNNNNNNNNNNNNNNNNNNNNNNNNNNNNNNNNNNNNNNNNNNNNNNNNNNNNNNNNNNNNNNNNNNNNNNNNNNNNNNNNNNNNNNNNNNNNNNNNNNNNNNNNNNNNNNNNNNNNNNNNNNNNNNNNNNNNNNNNNNNNNNNNNNNNNNNNNNNNNNNNNNNNNNNNNNNNNNNNNNNNNNNNNNNNNNNNNNNNNNNNNNNNNNNNNNNNNNNNNNNNNNNNNNNNNNNNNNNNNNNNNNNNNNNNNNNNNNNNNNNNNNNNNNNNNNNNNNNNNNNNNNNNNNNNNNNNNNNNNNNNNNNNNNNNNNNNNNNNNNNNNNNNNNNNNNNNNNNNNNNNNNNNNNNNNNNNNNNNNNNNNNNNNNNNNNNNNNNNNNNNNNNNNNNNNNNNNNNNNNNNNNNNNNNNNNNNNNNNNNNNNNNNNNNNNNNNNNNNNNNNNNNNNNNNNNNNNNNNNNNNNNNNNNNNNNNNNNNNNNNNNNNNNNNNNNNNNNNNNNNNNNNNNNNNNNNNNNNNNNNNNNNNNNNNNNNNNNNNNNNNNNNNNNNNNNNNNNNNNNNNNNNNNNNNNNNNNNNNNNNNNNNNNNNNNNNNNNNNNNNNNNNNNNNNNNNNNNNNNNNNNNNNNNNNNNNNNNNNNNNNNNNNNNNNNNNNNNNNNNNNNNNNNNNNNNNNNNNNNNNNNNNNNNGGGGGGGGUACCAAGCACACUUUUACUCUAGGAGUAGUGUAGAUCAAUAUUGGCGAACAUGACAAAGGAAUCCCCUCCGACAGAGUGCUGGAUUAGGAUCUGAAGAUGAGUUCUGCCUCUUCUCUUGAACUUGUGAUGCUGAAAAAUUGCAUGAUAUAUAAAGUUGCUAUUAGGAGGUAUAUAUAAGCAUCGGAGUCACCUCUCCCGUGUCGCCCUCGCCACGGGCGACCGAGGAGCACGCCACCUGCCGCCUAGGGUUCCCUCCCCCGCCGCCACCUCCCUCGCCGCCGCUGAUGAGAGCCUCGAGGCAAAGCCCUUGUGGUGCUGGCGGCGGUGGGAAUCCCCUCUGUCGGCGUGAGGGUCGAGAUGCGGCCCCUCCUCUCGGCAUGGUCGGGCGUCGCGCCAUCCUCUUCCCUCGGCCCCUCCAUGACAAGCUCGCCGGCUGGCUCUCAUGUGUGGUGGCUCUGGUGAGCCCCCGGAGUGGGUGCUAGCCUUCGUCGCUGGUAUGCCCAGAACCGAUCUGGGACGACGGCGGUAGGGUUGGGGGUGGACGGCGGCCUGGUGGGAUAGUGGUAGUGUCGCACUUCUGACUGCACACUGGCCAGGGUGUGGAUGCGCUUGGUGAUGUGGCGGUUUUGACCUAGCAAUCUUCUUCCGCCAUGGUGUCUAAUGUCGGACGUCGACCUCCUUCAUCUAGCCACUCACACGUUUCAGUCUUCCCCGUCACAGAUGUAUAUGGAUUGGCAUGUGUUGCCCCUGAAAUGUAGAUCGGAAAUUCUUCGGUCGGGGGCGCUCAUAUUAUCAGCCGAUACGGGUUCAAGAAGGUACGGCGCGAAGCUUCGCUUUCUUAUCAGAGUAAUGGGACAUGUCUAAGUCAAGAUUCCUAGGACACUGAUUGGAGGUCUUGAAGCGUUGGCGGAAAGGUGUAGUGGAUGCGAUGAAGAUCGUGUGCUAGGUGUUUGGUGAUUUGCAACAGCGGCCUCAACAAGCGGGGGCGGCAGCACAGAAGGUCUACAAUUUUGAUGGUGCUCCUCGAGUACCGAUUCUUGAUUCCCAGGGUGAAAACUCAAUGUCUAAUCUUCAUUGGUUGUAUGUGGCAAUAGCCUUGUUGAAGGCAUUGUUUUUGGGUGAAAUCAGACUUUCUCCAAGGGUGAAAAUUCAAGAUCUUUGAUCGGGCAAUGACGACGCUUGUGCAUUGUUUCCUUCUUGGAGGCGUUGCUUUCGGAGAACCUUUUUUGUAUGUUCGGUGUUGUCUUCAGUGGUAGUUAGAGUGUUGUUGUUGCUGGGGACUAAUCAUCAUGGCAUGGUUUUUUCCUUUUUUUUAUUUUUCUGUUUUUGGCUUUGUGUAUCCUUGAUGUCUUUACACAUCUUGUUGGUAAAGUGGCCACGUGUAAUUGAUAUAUUCGUGAUAUUAAUAUAUUCCCUUUGUUGAAGAAAAAAAAUAUAAGCAAUAUGGAGGAAGGAGAUCGAUAAGCAGUUACGUCGGGGUCCCAAACACACUAAAGAUGUAGCCAUGUUCGGGGGACACAUGGGGCAACGUGGCUCCCCUCUAGCCCUCCUUUGACAAGUGUUUUGCCCCCAACAUUUCCUUCUUCAAUCUAUUUUUUCUUGAACUUUUACUAUAUGUAUUCUUGAAGAAACAUAAUUGGAGACAGAAAACUUGCCUUUCUGGCACAUUGUUUAGUUGUUAAUACAAAAAGAUAAAAAAAAACAUUGCAUGUUAGCAAAAGUAUAGCAUAAAAGGUACACAAAUUAUGUAUGUGGGAAGGACCUAUCACCAUAUCUUCCUCUAUAGUACUGAGAUGAUGAUGUAUUCCCUUGUUCAACUUUCCCUGUAAGUCAUGUGAGUUGUGGCUACCAGACAAGGUAGACUUGAAAUGUGACCUACUCUUCACUAAUGGAUAAAAAUUAGGCAGGCUAUGAGGUUCACGGGAACCUGAUGUGCUGGAGUUGUGCGGUGCUUGACCAUGAGACGAUCACACACACUUCCACAUAAUGCCCUCCUGUGCUAGAGAAUUUGGGGGGGGGGAGUGUGCUUCUCCACUGCCUGAUCGAGCCCGAUGGGAGUCCAUGGUAUGGGGCCUUUAGCAGUCUUUCGUUGCUCUUUUUCCCAUUGGUUCUCUUUGCUCAACAUCAUAGAUUACUCUUUGUGAGUGAUCUUUUUACGCUCAUCACACUGUUGUUUAGACCAAAUAAUUUCAAAAUUUCUGAGAAAAUCAGUAUGACAUUGUAGCUAAGGACUAGUGAAUGCAACAGAUCUUGAAAUCCCUUGUUUAAUAUGUUUCCGCGAGAAAGGUGCCUAAACAUGAAAAAAAAUCAUCAAUGAGGUGGAAACAGGAAGUAUGGUAGAAGGAAGGAAGGAAUAUGCGUAGGGUGAUAAGAAACAGAGCACAAGAUGGCGAGCCCUUGUAGCAAUGGUUGUAUCAUGUGUCGACGACUCCUGGAGGGCCAACCAACCAACAUCUACAAAGGGGAUUAUACUAGAAUCCCAGUAGAGGACGAAUAAGAGCACACUUCAUGAACUGGAACCAUCUUCCAACCAUAGCCACUGACAUUUCCACUCUCAUCUCCACAGUCUUGCCACCAUCAUUUCCGCAGCAAACCUUCUCCAAGUUAACAAUACAUGUAAUCGUGUGUCGCAUCCAGGACUUUAUUGUAAGAUCUAAUAUAAAUAAAGCAUUUCUCUUUAUGUCUUCUGAGUUCAUCUUGUGAUUCGAUCAUCAUGUGUGAGUAAUUCGGUAAGGCAAUGGGUUGAUGCAUAGCCUUGCAACCCUGUGUAUUUGUACAAGGAAUCCAUGGGAUGGCUAUAAUUAAUUAAUGCCAUGUAUAUAUGUAUUUGAUUGCAAUAUAGUUGUCUCUUGUCUCUUUCUUGUUCUAUGCGCCUGCAGGUAUCCAAGAUCGCGGAGAUAGGUCAUUGAAGAGCUAAGGAGCGAGAGUAUGUGAAACACUAACGAACAACAAUGCAAGAAGGGGACAGUAAGGUAUCGAAAAGCUUAUCCUUGAGGAUGAAUGAGGUGUAGUCAUUAGACGCCCAAUAUUUUUUUGGUAUAUUUAUUGUUAAUAACCAGUGUAAACAUGCGAGACAGUAAGGCCCUGCGAUUUGACAACUAACUCCUGAUAUAGGCCGCGCAUCAUUCCAGACGUAAUUGGACACAGUCCCCACAACAUCGUGUUACAAGCACAUAUUUACGAAGUUGUUUGUACUGCCAUGGCAUGAUGAAUAGAUCGGCACUUCUGCUUCGGCACACCCCCCUAAACACGAGGACGGUCCAGAUUAAUCGAUAUCUCUUCAUAAUAAAGGGUAGGAUGGUCAUAUUCACGUAUACAUUGUAUUUUGUUUUCAUACGUACACGUCCUCCUCUGUCAUUUUUAAAAGCAUGAUUCGAAUCAUGCACCUUAAGCUAUUAUCACAGCUCCAAUAACCAUCUAGGCAACAACACCUCAUGUGCUAUAAUUGUUUUUCACUCUAAUAAAAACAACACCUCAUGCACCUUAAGGAACGUAGUAUUCUCUGUUUUGUUUUCUUUUUCUCUUUAUUUUUUCCUUUNNNNNNNNNNNNNNNNNNNNUUUUUGAUUUCCUUUUCCUUUCUAAAUGCGUUAGCUUUUUAAACCUCGCACCAUUUGUUUUCUAAAAUGGUGUUUUUUUUCAAGUUCAUCCUUUUUUUCUUCAAAAUAGGUGAUUUUUUCACAAAUUGAUGAAGUUCUUUUCUAAAUUCGUGAACUAUUCCUCAAAUAGGCGAACUUUUCUUGAAAGUUAAUAAACUUUUUAUAAAGUUGAUGAUAUGUUAGUUUAAAAAUUGAUAAACUAUUACUUAAACCGUAAUUUUGGUAUUCUAAACCCUAAGUUGUUGGAAAGUUGUUAACACCUUUGGAAAAUGUGCAGAACUUUAUAAAAAAAAUCAUACAUAAUUUGAAAUUCCAAAAUUAUGCACAAACUAAAAUUGGGUCCAUUUCAUGACUCGGAGUAACAUCAUCGCAUUAUAACACCCCCUUUCGCCCUUACCAACAUCUUUGCGUUUCACAUGAUGUACAUGCAUACGUUUAUCAAAUUUAUCCAACUUUUGCCAGCAAGUGAGAAUGAACAUACAAAUGACCCAUGCAAAAUUUGAACUAUUACUUAAAUCGUAAUAUUGGUAUUCUAAACUAUUUUUCAAUUUAUUGAAUAAGUUUCAAAAGAAUAAUAAAUAUCAAAAAGGAGAAAAUGAAUUUGAGAAAAGUUCAAGAUAAUUAAAAAUCACGAAUUUAAAAAAUGAAAAUAGGGUGAAAAAGAAAUACGAAAGAAAAAGGAGCUGACAGGCAAAUUUUAAACUAAAAAUUACAAAACGUGGUACAGUAACAGGGAAACCGCUGUGAUUUUUAUAUAAGAGAAAUAUCAUACUUGGAUUUGGCACAUCUAGUAAUGUGUCCUGUUGGUUGCUGCCUCUUGCAAGGUUGCUACAGGUCUGGAGUUCGAAACCUGGUACAAUCAUAAUUUUUGAACUUUCUUAGAAGAUAAGAAAAUUAUGUACUUGGCCUAGCCAAGGGCGUAUAUGUAAUGGAUCUAUCUUACAUACAAAAAUUAAUGUGAAAGGUCCAUAUUAUCCUUUAUACGGUUUGUAAGGGGGCGUACCGAAGCGGGGCUCAUAUUGGCCCAGCCUAGGGCGUAUAUGUAGUGGAUUUAUCUUACAUACAAAAAUUAAUGUGAAAGGUCCAUAUUAUCCUUUAUACGGUUUGUACAUAUUAUCAUUUAUACGGUUUGUAAGGAGGUGCACCGAAGCGGGGCUCAUAGAUCGGACGUUUUCCUCAUAAAAAUAAAGUUUAGGAAUCUGAAUAUAUAUUUCUAAGCUCUUAUAUUAUAACAUAUUCCAAGGUUUUGGAACAACUUGGCGGAUGUUUUAAUAUCUAUCAUUUCUUUUACUGUAUUGGAUAAUGUCCUAAGAGUAUCUCUUGAUCCCCUAUAAUCAGUUAGAGGAAUAUAAUUUUUAUUCUCCCUCUAACUGGUUCCUAACCAAACUUUUAUAACCUUCAAUGGAGGAUAUUUCCACUCCGCGGCAGCUGCAACCCUUAAGAAUACUCGACCGUCCACCCAUGGAGUAAAAGUUUGCCACCUCCCUCCUUGGUCGCACCCUCCCCACCCCAUGCCACAAGCACUCUGGCGUCGUCUACUUAUCUUUGUCGGCCACCAUGCGCCACCGCCGAUCCCCGUAGUACGCACGCUCCUCGUCAAAGUUUGAUUCGGUCACUUCUUGUUGCCAGCGUCAAAAUCGUCAGAUCUACACAUGUCGCUGGAUUCAAGGUCGUCACCUCGCCCAUGCAACCACCUUGACCAACAUGCACUGUCGUCCUAACGGGUGCACUGCCUCUAGGUAUAGGAAAGAGGAGUACAAAGAUCAAUUGAUUGAGAAAUUUGCUAGAUGUUGCAUUAGUUUCUAGAGAUAAGACUGGAAAUAACACAAUGUCCAAGUUUGAGACUAGAGAGGACCCAAUGUGCACAUUUGAGGGGGCGAGAAAGAAAGUGUGGAAGCUGAAAGCGAAUAGAGAAAUCAACAAUGUAGCUAAUGAAGACAAAGAAAGCAUUGAUCGGAUUAGUAGGAGUUGUUUGGAAAUUGGUGUUGCUAUUAAAAUGUGUUAUUUUUCUUGUUUUUUUUUUAAAUGUUUGUCUUAGCAAAGAACUGGUAAUAAUAAAAUAAUUGAGUAAGAAAGUUUAACUUGGUGGUCAAAAUUUUUGAACUUUCUUAGAAGAUAAGAAAAUUAUGUACUUGGCCUAGCCAAGGGCGUAUAUGUAAUGGAUCUAUCUUACAUACAAAAAUUAAUGUGAAAGGUCCAUAUUAUCCUUUAUACGGUUUGUAAGGGGGCGUACCGAAGCGGGGCUCAUAUUGGCCCAGCCUAGGGCGUAUAUGUAGUGGAUUUAUCUUACAUACAAAAAUUAAUGUGAAAGGUCCAUAUUAUCCUUUAUACGGUUUGUAAGGGGGCGUACCGAAGCGGGGCUCAUAUUGGCCCAGCCUAGGGCGUAUAUGUAGUGGAUUUAUCUUACAUACAAAAAUUAAUGUGAAAGGUCCAUAUUAUCCUUUAUACAGUUUGUACAUAUUAUCAUUUAUACGGUUUGUAAGGAGGUGCACCGAAGCGGGGCUCAUAGAUCGGACGUUUUCCUCAUAAAAAUAAAGUUUAGGAAUCUGAAUAUAUAUUUCUAAGCUCUUAUAUUAUAACAUAUUCCAAGGUUUUGGAACAACUUGGCGGAUGUUUUAAUAUCUAUCAUUUCUUUUACUGUAUUGGAUAAUGUCCUAAGAGUAUCUCUUGAUCCCCUAUAAUCAGUUAGAGGAAUAUAAUUUUUAUUCUCCCUCUAACUGGUUCCUAACCAAACUUUUAUAACCUUCAAUGGAGGAUAUUUCCACUCCGCGGCAGCUGCAACCCUUAAGAAUACUCGACCGUCCACCCAUGGAGUAAAAGUUUGCCACCUCCCUCCUUGGUCGCACCCUCCCCACCCCAUGCCACAAGCACUCUGGCGUCGUCUACUUAUCUUUGUCGGCCACCAUGCGCCACCGCCGAUCCCCGUAGUACGCACGCUCCUCGUCAAAGUUUGAUUCGGUCACUUCUUGUUGCCAGCGUCAAAAUCUUCAGAUCUACACAUGUCGCUGGAUUCAAGGUCGUCACCUCGCCCAUGCAACCACCUUGACCAACAUGCACUGUCGUCCUAACGGGUGCACUGCCUCUAGGUAUAGGAAAGAGGAGUACAAAGAUCAAUUGAUUGAGAAAUUUGCUAGAUGUUGCAUUAGUUUCUAGAGAUAAGACUGGAAAUAACACAAUGUCCAAGUUUGAGACUAGAGAGGACCCAAUGUGCACAUUUGAGGGGGCGAGAAAGAAAGUGUGGAAGCUGAAAGCGAAUAGAGAAAUCAACAAUGUAGCUAAUGAAGACAAAGAAAGCAUUGAUCGGAUUAGUAGGAGUUGUUUGGAAAUUGGUGUUGCUAUUAAAAUGUGUUAUUUUUCUUGUUUUUUUUUUUGAAUUGUUUGUCUUAGCAAAGAACUGGUAAUAAUAAAAUAAUUGAGUAAGAAAGUUUAACUUGGUGGUCAAAAUUAAACGAAUUUGACCAAAAAAUUAAGGGGUUAAGUUGGGGAUUAGUUCGAAACGACAUAUUUUUAGAGGAGCAAAUAUACUUGUCUAACGGAUACUCAGCCGGCCGUGCCCUCUUCUAAAUGUAUAGGGAAUCGGUUGGAGAUGCUUGCACAAUUGGUUAAACCAUUUGUGAUAUGGUCACACAACAAAGAGUAGUCUACCAUAUUAAACCCUCAAUGUUCAUAUUAAUCGAUCUAUGUGGGCGCAUAAGAUGAGGUAGCUUAUUCCAACGCAUCCCACGGGAGUAGCUAGAGUACAAUAUUAACGACAGAAGGAAAAAAAAAGAAUGGUAAAGUACUACUGUAGAAUAUUAACGACAGAAUCAAAAGGACCCGCUCCCGUCGCUUCUGCACCGUGACUUUAUAUACACUUCCCGAUGGAGCAGUAUCGUUCAACACAAGCCUGUGAGGGACAGAGAUGAAGCCCUCGACAGCCAUAGUCCUGGUGCUCGGUGUGGUGGCACAAUAUGUCGCCCUGGCCACCGCGGCCGGUCCCAAGGUCAUCAUCGUCGGCGCCGGCAUGUCAGGUAAACUGUGCACUAUACUAUACUAGAGAUAUACUAGACACAUACCAUGGUGCAGGAAGUUUGUUUGAGUGCACGGCAUAACACGGAUGCAAGUCCUUGUGCUGUAUAUACAGGGAUCUCGGCCGGGAAGAGGCUGUCGGAGGCCGGGAUCACGGACCUGGUGAUCCUGGAGGCGACGGACCGCAUCGGCGGGCGCAUCCACAAGGAAAAGUUCGCCGGGGUGAACGUGGAGAUGGGGGCCAACUGGGUGGAAGGGGUGAACGGCGACGAGAUGAACCCCAUCUGGACCAUGGCCAACGGCACCGGCGGCCUCAACCUCAGGACCUUCCGCUCCGACUUCGACCACCUCGCCGGCAACACCUACAAGCAGGAGUACGUACGCCUGCAUGCAUGCCCGUACGUCGUGCCGUCGUUUCACAGGUAGCUGAGCUGAUUGCUUCGAUUCUUGUCUUGCGUGGACGCGCAGCGGUGGCCUCUACGACGAGAAGGUUGUUGAGAAGAUAAUCGAGAGGAUGGAAGAGGUGGAGGAGAGCGGGAGCAAGCUCUCCGGCACCUUGCACGCCAGCGGCCAGCAGGACAUGUCUGUCAUGGCCAUGCAGCGCCUCAAUGACCAGUACGUAUAUACGCACUUCAUGUUCCUCCUUGUCGUCAGUAGAGUGCUAGCUCCGAAGUGGGAGAUUCGUUAAUGCAAGACAUCAACACAUAUAGCUGUUGGAUCCAGCCCACCCGAUGGAUCUGAUGCUGUGAUGUCAAGAAAAAUAUUACCCCUGCUUGAUCAUGAGCAUAGGGAAAAAUACAUACUCACUCCGAUCCAUAUGAAUUGCCGUAGAUUUAAUACAAGCGACAAUUAACAUGGAUCGGAGUGAGUAGGAAUUUUCACCAGAGAUUCGAAUUGAUGGAAACUACCUACAAAUUAUGCAAAUGAAUACUAGGGAAUGUUCCUAUGAAUUGCAAUCUUCUCGUCAAACAACCCAUGUGAAAUUUUUCCAUAGAAUUAGAAUCAUCCAUCUUUUGACAAUUCUUUGAAUCAAAUAGGCCCUAAAUUGGACCUGGGGAUUGAAUAUCUUUUUUAUGGCAACGCGGAUUCAAAGUUUUAUUUGCGCCUAAUAGUAAGUUGAUAGCUCAUGCCUAACCUUUUCUCUUGCCCCCUAUAUACAUGUCUCCACCAAACCAUGGAUAAGUCUUAGCACAUAUAUAAUUCAAAAAAAAAGUCGUAUCACAUAUCUAUUCUUGUACUGAUGCAUUCCCAAUUAUUAUACGGUUCGCAAUAAACCUUCAAAUUAGUAAAUUUAGCAAGUGACAACAACUCCCCUUGUCCAACAGCCGCAUUUGCUACAUGAAAGUUUUAUAAAAUGCCAUGAGUUUUUGGUAAAGAAAAUACUAUUUUCCUUAAAAAAAAAGGUGAAUCACCAGUUAGCCCCCCUUUAUAUAAUUUCGUACGUGGAUUGUUAGCACGUCUAGCCCCCUUCAUAAUAUGUUUUAAUUAGAACUAUAAAAUAAAUUACAUUGGUCAUACAAAUAUUUAGAAACUAUUCUUUAUGAAGUCCAAUGCACUUGUCCAUCACAACUCCUACGAUCGUCCUAUUGGUACAUUUACAAUGUACCGCAAUCCAAAGAGGCCCCUAGCUUCCUAUAGAAAAGGUGAUUAGAUUACUGAAGUGUGAUAACACUAACUAUUUUACUUCACUCCCAUCGAUCUAAAGCUAUCUUAGCCACGUAUUCCCGGGGAAACAUAGAGCUUCUUCACAGAGUACACAAAAUAACGUCUUGGACCAAGUGCUGAAUUGUUUAAGAGAAACGAUUCCUCCCACCGACCGAUCCAUCGAUCGGAUCGUCUGGGUACGCACGCAUGCACGCGCUCUUCGCGGCUCUCUGUCAGCUUUCGGUUUUAUAAUAAGAGCAUCUUCAACAGUCUGUAUGUUUAAUCGUUGUUAUAAAUGUCCAUGUCAGCAGCCAGCAUCAUAUCAUACAAGCUCUUCAAUGGAGUGUAUGUUAACCGUAUGUAAAAUAGCCAAGCGGGUCUACUAGAUAUUGAAGAAAUGACCAUGCUUGUCUCGGAGCUUGUGCUUCAUACGAUUCCAUUCUCUCUCUUUUUGUUUUAUGUGUGAUGUCAUCAAAAUUGUCUAUAUGACAAUUUUAACAACGAUGAUUAUAUGACUAUUGGAGAUGCCCUAAGGCUGGUAGUAUGGUUGUAUCAUGCAUGUCAAUUACUCCCUUCGUCAUGGUAUAGAAUGUGUGCUUAAAAUUCUCAUGACCUGGAUGGUUAUUGAUUGGCUAUGAGAUGGGUUGAAAAAUAGCAUUCAUACUAUGCAUGCAUAUAGAAGUAGUACAACCGAGUACUAAUUAACUGUUAGGAGUAAAUGCAAUGCGUCUUAAACCUUGUCUAUUGUGGAAAUGCACGUAAAUUUAACUGUGUCUUCCAAACUGUGACAGAGGUAGUGGACAAUUUUGACAAGACGACAUAGAAUUGAAUAAAGAAAAAAAGUUUAGUAUCAUAUCAUGAUGCCAUAUUAUAUUAAAUGAUGUAUUAUUACGUGUCAUGUAUGAUAAUAAAUGAAUUACCCUAUAAUACUAACAUAUAAUACUACUCCCUCCGUCCCUGCACCAUGACAAAGAUGGAGAGGAAAACGAAAGAAAUAAAUGCUAAUUUGCUAAUUAAUACCAUUACAUGCAAUGAAUUGAUCACUGCAUGUCAUGCUAGUUGGUCUUAAAUCGUUAAAAACAUACACGUCACAGUCUCUUAUUGAUUGAUUCAUUUAUUCAUGUCAAAAAAUACGAAACGAGGAAAAAAUUAAUGCAUGGCGCCUAAGUGUUUUCGGUUUAUUUGAUUUUCGUAAGAUGACUUAUACACCGAAACGAAGAGAGUAUAUAUUAUGAAUGUAGUAGCAUACACUAAUAACAUGUGCAUGAUACUAAUAUAUGACACCCUUCAUUACAACCAACCUAAGCUUUGAAAAAUCUAAAUCUAACGAUGUUUUGAUACACGGCACCUAAAGCGUCGCCCACGGUUCAAACCACAAGCGUUGACAGCUUUAAUUACCAUGUGCCUCUUGCCGUAACAUCAAGCAACAGCCACUUCGCAAGCAAUCUUUCCUAUUUGUAGAAACAAAACAAUAAAUCAUGGUAAUUACUUACAAUAUGUUCUUGCUGCCGAUACAAAGUACCAACAUUAUCUGAUGACAUGUAUUAUACUUCCUCCGUCUUAAAAUAAAUGAUUCAAAAGUAGCUCAACUUUGUACUAAAAUAGUACAAAACUAAAUUAUUUUUAAGUCACUUAUUUUGAGACGAAUGGAGUAUAUGCUAUGGACUGAGUCCGAUAAAAGAUAACGGAAUUCUUACAUACUAUUCUGUUGUUGUACCCAUUUUAUGCAGUUUAUAUUUGUUUCCCUGUUCAUUUAAUAUGUGCGAUAUAUGCUCCCUCUGCAGUAUGCCUUCGGGGCCCGCGACACCAGUUGACAUGGUAAUCGACUACUACCAGCACGACUUCGAGUUCGCCGAGCCGCCGCGCGUGACGAGCCUGCAGAACACACAACCACUGCCAACGUUCAACAACUUCGGCGAUGACGUUUACUUCGUGGCGGACCAGCGGGGUUACGAGUCCGUGGUGUACCAUGUCGCGGGGCAGUACCUCAAGACCGACCGCAAGUCCGGCGCCAUCACCGACCCAAGGCUCAAGCUAAACACGGUGGUGCGGGAGAUCACCUACUUCCCCAGCGGCGUCGCGGUGAGGACCGAGGACAACAAGGUGUACCGGGCCGACUAUGUCGUGGUCUCCGCCAGCCUCGGCGUCCUCCAGACCGACCUCAUACGGUUCAAGCCGCAGCUGCCGUCGUGGAAGAUCGUGUCCAUCUACCAGUUCGACAUGGCCGUGUACACCAAGAUCUUCCUCAAGUUCCCCAAGAGGUUCUGGCCGGAGGGGCCCGGCAAGGAGUUCUUCCUCUACGCUAGUGGUAGGAGAGGGUACUUCCCGGUGUGGCAGCAGUUCGAGAAGCAGUACCCUGGGUCAAAUGUGCUGCUGGUCACGGUCACCGACGACGAGUCGAGGAGGAUCGAGCAGCAGUCCGACAACCAGACCAUGGCGGAGGCGGUGGCGGUGCUCAGGAAGAUGUUUCCUGGGAAGGAGGUGCCGGACGCCACGGAGAUCCUCGUGCCGAGGUGGUGGUCUAACAGGUUCUUCAAGGGCACCUUCUCCAACUGGCCCAUUGGCGUCAACCGCUACGAAUACGACCUCAUCCGGGUAAAAAUAUCUACUACAUUUGUCUUGCAUUUGAGUCCUUCUCCGCUAUCUGAUUUUGUUCUUUGAUUUAAAUUAGGCUCCCGUUGGGAGAGUUUACUUCACCGGGGAGCACACGAGCGAGAAGUACAACGGAUAUGUCCAUGGAGCGUAUCUUGCAGGUACAUAAAAACUAGUUCUGCCUCUCUUUUUUAGAUUCUCAGGCUCUGCAUUGUUAAGAGCUUUUUAACUUCCCCUUUUCCGUAUCCUAAGGUAUUCACAUGUGAUCUGACGCUGUUUUCUAGGUAUUGACUCUGCUGACAUUUUGAUCAACUGUGCCAAGAAGAAAAUGUGCAAAUACAAUGUCAAGGGAAAGCAUGACUAACCCAAAGGUAACUAUACAAGUAUUUCAUACUAGUACUGCUAGCAUUUAACCGAUAAAAGUUGUUUCUAACUGUUGCUCCCCUCAUAUGGUAUUCCGAUCUUAUCUUAAUAAUUUUUUCCAGUUGCCUAAUAAUGGUAUCAUAUUUCCCCCCGUGUUGCAGGUUAUUAACCACAACAACAGAAACACCAGAAGUUGUGGGUCAAUAAAACCGAGUUUGGGCGCAAGCAUUAUUCCGGUGUUAUGAUUGUUUGGUCAUUCUUCAACGGCUUCUUCGGAUACCCAUUUCACAAAAAAGAAAAUAACUCUUCACAUGUGAAUUGUGAUUAAGCAAGCUACCAACUGGUUAAUAAAGUUGUACAUUGUCGAUGGCUGCUUUUUUUAACUCAAUGCAUUGCAUUAAACAGUGUGCGAAGUCAAAUCGCUCGCCACGAGGACAAAUACACACGGAUCACAUCCGUCAAAUACAUAGUCAGGCCAUAAGCGUUCCCUUCACAACCAAAGCAUGCGCUACUUAAUUACAUAUUCUGGGACAGUGUUCAAUCUUAUACCUCACGAACUAACUACGAAUAAAAUUUCUAAGCCGAUCAAAUAUAACAAACAGACAGAAGAAACUGACGCCCUCCUCUUGGAUUGCUUCUUUCAGCAGUAGUGCAUCAGUUUUUAAAAUAAUCUUCACAACCCUCAACUCCAACAUUAGUCUAAGCCCAGCUUCGGCAGCAAGCAUCUUAGCAUGUAAGGCACUUUGAAUGUUUGGAAGGAAACAUGCAGCGCAAGAUACCACCUCGUCGUCUUGGUUUCGGAGCACAGCGCCCCACCCGCUACUCAACUUUGUCGCCUUAAAAGAGCCAUCAACAUUUAUCUUAAUCCGUGUCGAUGGCUGCCUUGACUGGCUAGGCUAGAGAAUAAUUGGGACGAAGGACCCGUAUGUGCGUACGUACAUAUGCCGAUCCUAUCUGUACCCAGUAGUAUAACGUGUAGCAUGCCAUGGUUGCCUACUGGAGUAGGUGAGUCGCCGUGCUUCGCCGCGUCGGCUGUUGUCGGCGCUGAUAGCUCAUGACCAAUGCAAACAGACUCUUUGUUCGCAAACUUAGAACGAAAAUCAAGCCCACACAUCUUUUCUGACAUAUAAUGAUGAGACGAAAGCAAACAGCUUACGAUAAAACUCAUAAACAUCAAGCAAAGUAGCAUCGAAUCCCACUAGGUUUAUAAUUCUAAGAAGACAUGAUCUUCCCGAAAGCUUACUGGAUCGACCUCGUGGGACAUGCAUGCCUUGGCCCAAGACCGACCGGGAGACAUGAUUCCACACGCCCUUAUGGAGCAUACUCCAGCUGCACGUUUACAAAGUGCAAAAAGAAGCACAUAUGAUCUCAACAAGGAGGCACCCAUACACUAUACUUCCAUCUAGUGAUCUCGUUGGUGCCAGGUCCGUCCAUGGCACACUCAACGAACUUUCAAGCAUGCUUCGGCUUCAGCCUAAACAGCGUGUCGCAUCUCCUCUUUUCGCACCCACCAGUUCCAAGGGCCAUAAAAUAUGGUGCAAUCCCAAUGGAUGAAUCUGUUUUGUGUCAAAAUAAUUAAAACUGAGGGGCCGGCAAUCAGAGUUUGAUAUGCCGAAAGAGAAACCAUUAGAGCAACUCUAGCGGAUUCUUUGGAUACUGGCUAAUUUUUUUUAAAUAUUGCAUUUUUUUAUUCUUUUUGACAAAUAAUGCACCAAAUCAAAAAAAUUGAAAAAUAUACCUGCUUCGGCCUUGUUGUGGCCGAGUGGGAGCCGUCGGCCCCGCCCAAGCCGACAGGAGGCUGUCGGCCCCGCCCCAGCCGACAGGAGCCUAUCGGCUUCCACGUGGCCGAUUAGUGGCCAGUCGGCUUUGGGGAAGCCGAUAGGCCACUAGUGGCAGCGCCUCCUCCCCUCUCCCUCCUUUCUCAGCUAUUUCUUCUCCCUCCUCUAUUUCUUCUCCUUAUUUCUUCCCUUAUUUACUUUUGCUGUUUUUGAUGGAAGUGUCAUCUUUUUUCCUCUUUGGAAUUUUAUGUUAGCUAUUUUAUGUUAGCUCGCAAUUUUAUGUUAGCUAUUUUGCCUACACGUCUCCAUUCCCGCCUAAUUUUUCGCACCACCUUUCCCGCCUAAUUUUGCCCGUUCCGUUUCCCGCCAACUAUUUCUCUUAUUUCGCGCCAAAUCUUUCCCUCCUCUUUUUCCCGCCAUAUUCCUGGUCAUCUAAGUCUAUAAAAGGAGGCAUUGGACUGCCUUCCUCCAUCAUCCAGCCUCACUUGAGAACACUAGCACUGCCUUGCAUCCUCCAUCAUCCAGUGAACAUGAGUUUGCCUUGCUCGGAUCAGAGCAUCAGGCCUAAGAAAAUGCAGAGUGUGAGUUUGCCUCGGGGUGUGGAAGCAGUUCGAUGUUGGUGCGGUAAUCUCUGCAAGGUGAAGGAGGUGACGGAUUUUUCAGAUUAGUUGGGCAUGAAGUUUUUCAUGUGCGCCAAUUAUGAAUCUGAUCCGCCCGAAUCUAUUUUUGCGUACCUCAGGCCUCCGGUAUGCUCAAGUUAUCCAGAGUAAAUAUGUUGUUGAUAUUAUUGUUUACUUGAUAUUUAUAUAUAUUUUUUGUAGUCUCCUCCUCCUCUCUGCAUGUACUAUCGUUGGAUUGACACGGAAAUGCCGGACUGGGNGGUGAUGGAAAAGGGAAAUAUCCACGCUGGACUCAGUAGAUUUAUUAUAAUUUCAGCACGUUGUAUCUUAAUUUGAGCAAGUUGUAUUUUAAUUCCGGCAAGGUCUAUCUUAGUUUGUCUGUAAUCUCAAGUUAUUGGUAGUAUAUGUGUUAUCCACGAAGAACGAACUGAGCAUUUUUGUUCCCGCCUUGCUUUCCCGCCAUUUUGUUCCCGCCUACCUUUCCCGCCAUUUUGUUCCCGCCUACCUUUCCCGCCAUUUAUUUCCCGCUCUUCGGCACCUAUAAAACCCUCUCCACAGCAAGGUUGGUAAGGAGUGUGCUCAAAAUGUCUCAUUAUCCUUUUGAUCGUAGUUUUCACAGUGGUAUGUCAGAGUGUCUUCUACGCUUGGCUAGCAAUUUCAAGAUAGUCAAUAAAAUAGUUUCAUGGGACGAACUCAUCAGUAGUGACACGCUACUGAAUGAGGUUUCUCAUGCAUUAGCUAGGAAGGGGUGGCCUGCAAGGACAUAUGAGGAGAUUCGGAAGGAACUUCUGCGGUUGAAUGAAAGGUGGAAGAAGAAAGGGCAGCACAUACGCGGUGGAGGUGGAGUAAAACAUCCUUUUUUAUGGAUUGACGAUAGCGAGGACGAAGACGAUAUCUUCAUGCCGAGUAGCAAGGACAAGAGGGCAGCAUCAACGAGUGCCAAGAGUACCGCUUCGUCGAAGGGCCAGAGCUCUGCAUCAUCGAAAGAUGACGACGACUUUAUGUAGUUCUUGUAUGAACUCUGCAUCUUAAUGUAUCUUAUUUUAUGUAUCUUAUUUCAUGUAUCUUAUUUUAUGUAUCUCCGGAAUCUUACUUUGUUUGUAAUCUCAAGUAAUUGAUAGUAUAUGUGUUAUCCACGAUGAACCAACUGAGCAUAGAAAUAGAUAGGAAUAAGUCUCAUAGAUAAAAUACACAUAUGUCUCAUAGAUAAAAUACACAUAUGUCUCAUAGAUAAAAUACACAUAAGUCUGAACUGAACAUAGCAGGGCAACGAGUUUGCUUCACUCACGAUGUCUUGGUUGGCGCUCUGGGGGUGUGGGGGGUGUACUCCAUCCCCACCUGUGGGGGGCCUAACGUUACGAGGAGGAAUCUCGGAUCCAUCCUGGUCAUACUGUGUAUCCUGUGUGGGCCACGGUGGAGGAGUCGAAAACAUGUCCAACCACAUGUUUUGCUGUGAUGGUGGCUCAUCUGGUUCACUCCCUAACCCGGAUCUGGACGCCGACAUCUCUUGCAGCUCUCCUGUCCCUAACAUGUCUCUGUGUGCAAACAUUUAGUCUGUUACGUAUCAGCUCAUAUUUCCAUUGUUAGUUCUGCUUGCAGAGUUUCUUGAAUAGAUUCAUGAGGUUCUUAUUUCUAAAUUGCGAGAAGAAAUUUGCCCCUAGAUGGCGCAUGCACCAGCGACUCUGAAUGUGCUGCCAAGGAGCUUGUUCACCGGGAGCAGGGUUUGACAAUGUCUUGAUCGUGUUGAGUAUACCUGCAUGCCUAUCAUGAAGGAUGCACACAUUCUGCUUAUCUUGCACAACAACUAUUUUCAACUGCCUGAAGAACCAUGUCCAACUCUCGAUGUUCUCGCUCUCCACAAAAGCAAAUGCAAGUGGGACGACUUGAUUUUGCCCAUCUUGACCUAUGGCUGUGAGGAUCUGACCCUUAUACUUGCCAGUGAGAAAUGUGCCAUCAACACAUAUCACCGGUCGACAAUGUUUGAAAGCUUCAAUGCAGGCACCGAAAGAUAAGAACAUCCGAUGCAACACCCUAACCGUUGGGAACUCUGGCAGGUACAACUCUUGGAUGUCAACAUACGUGCCAGGAUUCCGGUUCUGCAGUGUCUGCACGAGCCGAACAACAGAGUCAUAUGCAUCAAAAUAUGAACCAAAUCUGGUCUCCAGUGCCUUCUGCUUAGCCCUCAAGCCUUGCCAUAUGAUAUGUUGUACUUUAACCUGACGAAGACUUUUUCUGGAUAGCCUUCACUUCCAUCGCCUUGCACUCCACAAUCUCGCUGUAAAGCAAGCGAGCUAUCACAGUGGAAGUAAGGUUGGGAUGAUCUUGAGGGAUGCAUGGAAUAACACAAUUAUGACUAACUAAGUCACUUAUGACCCAGCUUAUGUCGUACUUAGGGAGAUAUCCAUACACCCUAGCGGGACAACCCUGAUUUCUACAAACCAUUGUCAACUUAUCCGGACAAGAUACUUGAGCUACAAAUACCCUUUGAGUGCACAUUGCCCAAUUAAGGAUGGCAUCCUUCAGAGCUUGUUUGUUCGGGUAGAGGGCACCUGUUGCAAUGUUGUUCUGGUGAUACUGCGAGGCAGAAUCAUGACCGUCGUUCACCAACAUUGCAGAUGAGAAGUCCUGAUUCCAUGAUGCAGGAAUAGGCACUUCAUGUGCGUGCUCUUCUCCAUCUGAUUCGACGGAUUCAUUGAAAAUAUCACCCGCUAUAUCUUCUUCAUGCAUCACGUUUUGCAUGUGCCCAUCUAUCUCGUCGGCAUCCGCCUCACCGCUGAGAUAAUCAUCUGCAUCUCCCCCUUCUGCAUGACUACUCUGGCCUGCUUCGUAAAAAUCAUCCCCAGCAUGGGACGCAUGAAUUGACUGUGAAUCAUGCAUCCCUACACUGCUCUCACCAUAUUCAAAGCUACGUUCCGCUUCAGGUUCAGUAACCGGCUUUAGCACGGGGAGAAGUAAGGCCACAGGAUGACAUCCCCUACGCUCGCAAGAUUGUAACAAGCGCACCCACUGGUCGUCCCGCUCUAUAUGCUUCAAAUACCAGAAAAUAUUACCAGUGGACCGGGUCCAUAAUGCAUGAACACCUACGGUGUGUGUUUUAGUAUUGAACCCUAAACAUCGCGCAAGACAUUCUGUCAACUGAGUAACAGACCAUGUUUUAGGGGAGGACACCUGCACCUCUGUGUACUGAAAUUCACUAAGAUCAGCUCCCAUCUCAUUUGUUUGAACGGUACCACGACCAUAGUGCAAACAUAACGUCACUAAAUCAGACAUCUCUGCUGACCUAACAUAUUAUUCAACAAGGAAAAAUAUUAGAAGAACGACAAACGGAAAUAUAUUUUCCAAAUCUAUCGGAGAACCUAAACAUAUUUACACUACUUCAUUUACUAAACUUAAUUUAUACUAAUCUACCGGAGCACCUAUAACUAGUUAAACAACUAAACUUAUACUAAUCUAUCGGAGCACCUAAAACUAGUUAAACAACUAAAUUUAUAUUAAUCUACCAGAGCACCUAAAAAUUGUUAAACAACUAAAUUUAUACUAAUCUACCGGAGCACCUACAACCAGUUAAACAACUAAAUUUAUACUAAUCUACCGGAGCACCCAAAACUAUUUGAACAACAAAAAUAUUUUACCCUUGAAGCGUGCGCAGAAACGAUGAACGACGAACGAUGAACACCGAUAUUAAUCCCACACCACCACCUCCAACUCCACCAAAACAACCAACUACACCCACAGCACCACCACCACCACAAAUAGCCUCAAAACANUCAACCUCCACCACCACCACCAAAAAUAGCUUCAAAACAUGCACCACAAACUACCACAUUGCGAGUGAGAAGGAUAGUUUGGAUGCCCUCCUCCUUACACAACAAAUGUAUGGUUCAAAAAGUGGAAAUGGCAGAUUUUUUGGGUGGGGGAGAAGGUAGGAGGAGAAAGAAAGAAAGGAGAUAAGGUAGAAAGGAGAAGGAAGAAAGAGGAAGGAGGAAGAAAGGAGGAGGGGCUGGCGGCCACUAGUCGGCCUCCCCCUGGCCGAUAGCCCUAUCGGCUACGCCAGGGCCGACAGGCUUGGCCGACUGGCCUGUCGACGUGGUCUGGCCAGUAGUCGGCCGCCACGUGGCCGAGAGGCCCUUAUCGGCUUUGCCUAGGCCGACUGGACCCCUGUCGGCCGCGCCGACCCGACUGGAUCCUAUCGGUGACACCAGGGCCGAGGCAGACCCAGAUUUGAAAAUUUUCAAAUGGGCGCAUUAUUUUUCAAAAAGAAUAAAAAAAUACAAUAUUAAAAAAAAAUUAGCUGGAUACUGACCGUCUUCCAUGAAAACUGAUAUUAUAAAGAUCCAAGGAAAAACUGUACUCUAGCGCAUUCCCUAUACCUCCACUAUCCCUAAAAGGCUAAAACUGUUACAGGUCACUAAUAUAUAAACAUGCCUCUAGACUUUAUUCUAUAUUUAAAGGAAGGAUGAAUUUUUUUUUUACGAUGCAGUCUAUCCACAAAUGUUUUGGCGCCAAAACAUUUUAGGACGUGCCUGAUCUCCCACCACCGCCCUCCUCACCACAUUGCCACCGUUCCGGUGGUCAGAACGGCACUAUCUGUCACAACUCAACUCCACGGACAUUCCUGCGGUAACCCCACAUCACCGCCACGUGUCAAUAUCUGUCAAACUCAACUCCACAGACUUGUUCCUGUUGUAACCCCGCCUCAUCUCCACUGGUAUGUGUAGGGGCUGUUUGGUUGGCAGCCCCAGCUUGCCAUGCCUAACAUUAGGCGAGCCACAAGUCCGUAGGCACGUGUUUGGUUCUGCGCUGAGAUUAGGCUCGCCACAACAUGGAGGGGAUUCUGCCGCAGAAUUUUUCGUCAGAUGUGUGGCGCUCAUUUUUCCCGCUGCACCGCCCGCGGCGCGCCAACGCAGCCGAGAAAAAUCCCCCCCCAAACGCCAACGUCGUUAAAGUCGCCCCUUCCUUUUUUCCCCAUCCUCCAGUUCGUUGCUCCCCUCGCUCUCACUACAACCCCAUGACAGAGAGCUUCCCCUGAAUUUCUAAUUGAUCUCGUUGAAGAUAAGAUGCAAUAUUAUACUAGCUGGUACAUUCCUCCCCUCCGCAGCAAUCAUCUCAUCCAUCUCAUCUCUCCCUUGGCUCAUAUUCAUCACGUAUGUGCAGAUCUGGGCCUCUAUAUUUUUCAAGAAAAAACAACAACCAUCUACCAAGAUCUGAGCGAUUUCCCAAUAUAUUCGGCUGAUUGUUUGUAUUCCUAUUGUGCGUAUACUACUGUCUUCUCUCUCAGAUUCAGAGGUCAAAUUUCUGUCAAGAGAUAAGGUAACAACACACCCCCUUCUGUAUUUUGCUUCAUGUGUGUACGAGUGACAGAACAAAUAAUCAAUGCAAUGUAAAAUAUGUUGUGUGAAUAUAAGAUUUCGAGUUUCCUAUGUUAUUUUCUCAAAGAUCUGGUGCAUCAUAGGUUCUUUGCUUGAGUAAUUAAAGUUCCCCUCUGUUCAACUCUUUUCAGAUAAUUUUUUAUGUACUUAUACACACUGAUGCCAUCAUAGUUUUAUUAACUGUAUUAUUGUUUCAUAGAUGGAUCCAAGUAUAUUAUGCUUACAAUAUUACACGCAUUACUAUCUGUACCACAUGUGGAGGAGAAGAUUGUUUGCUGCCAUUAUUGUGUGUUUAGCCAUGUACUGGUACAAGAUUAAUAUUCAAAAAAGGAAGAGAAAAUAUGUAACUUAUGCUCCCAUGCUCGAACGAGAUGUUGAAAGGGUGUCACGACUAAACCGUAUGUACUAUGGAACUGAGGCUCACUGCAUAAGUGAGCUGCGCAUGCGGAAAGUUGUUUUUCACAAGUUGUGUGCCAACCUGAGACGUCGUGGUCUGUUGGUGGACACUUUCCAUGUAUCAGUGGAGGAGCAAAUUGCCAUGUUCAUCCAUGUUGUGGGACAUAACUAGAAAAACAGAUCAGUUGGUUUUGAGUUUUAUCGAUCAGGCGAGACAGUUAGUAGGUACUUCAAUGCUGUUUUAGAUGCCCUGUGUGUCCUUGCCCGUGAUGUCAUAUGCAUAAGAUCCAUUGAAACACAUUCGAAGAUAACAAGUAGCUCCAGAUUUCACCCUUACUUUGAGGUAUAUCCAAAACUAUUCAUUAGUAUCUGCAAUCUAUUUAUAGAUUCCAUUCAGUCCAUUUGAAACUAGUUCUAUGUUUUCGUAGGGAUGCAUAGGAGCUCUGGAUGGUACUCAUAUACCGGCAUGUGUGCCUAUCCACAUGCAGGAUAGGUUUAGGGGUAGAAAGUCCAUUCCCAUACAAAAUGUGCUAGCAGCCGUUGAUUCUGACCUAAGAUUUAUAUAUGUUCUUGCUGGAUGGGAGGGAUCUGCCCAUGAUUCUUAUGUGCUCCAAGAUGCCCUAUCUCGUCCCAAUGGCCUUAAAAUACCAGAAGGUGGGAUUCUAACCCAUGGCUUCAAACUAAAACUUGCUUUGGUCCUUAGCUAAUGUGUUAGCAACAUGAUGAUGUAGGUAAAAUUUUUCUAGCGGAUGCAGGAUAUGCUGCAAGACCUGGUAUACUGCCCCCAUAUCGUGGUGUUCGAUAUCACCUAAAAGAAUAUAGGGGAGCUAGAGAGCCGGAGAACCCAAGAGAGUUAUUCAACCAUCGCCAUUCCUCACUUAGAACAACUGUGGAAGAGCAUUUGGUACCUUGAAGAACAGAUUUAAAAUAUUUGCAAGUCAGCCAUUCUUCCCUCUGAAAACACAAAUAAAAAUUGUGUUUGCUUGUUGUGCACUCCAUAACUGGAUCUUAGAUGAUGGUCCGGAUGAGUAUGUCUAUGAUGAUGCUACUUGGUACUCUGCUCUUCCACGGAGUAGAAGAAACCGUCGUGACGUUUACCAGGAGAGUCACGCUUGGGCACACAAAAGGGAUGUACUAGCUCAAAAAAUGUGGGAGGAUAACUUAGCAGAUCAAGAUCAAGACGAUUAAGAAGUGAAUAUGUAAUAUGUCAUAUUUCUAUGUAUCAAACAUGAGUGUUAUUUUGUUAUAUGUGAGACUAUGUUGGUUGUACCUUUGUUAACUUGUUGCACUUAUUUGCACUUUAGUAAAAUUGUUGGUUGUUUCAUGCCUGUUUGCCUCACCACUUUUUGAUUAAAAUGACUCUCUCCGUUAGAAACAGUGAUGGCUAAGGGAAAGGUGAAGGUUGAUGGUGAUGAGAAACAGAGGACUAUUUCUUGGGCUGAUGAUCAGACCAAGUUUAUGUUAGAUUGGUGCAUUGAAUACAUGAAGGAACAACAUGCAGGAUUUAGGUUCAGGAAGCAUCAUCUUAUGAAGUGUGCUGAUGCUUUAAAUAGAAAAUUUGCUAUGGGGGUGACACUUUCUCAAGUUGAUCGUCACUUCAGGCACUACAAAGAAAAUUGGAAGUACAUUGCCGCAGCAAUCAGCAAGAGUGGCAAUGUUUUUGAUGCUAUUAGAUGUGUGGUAACCAUUUCCGAGUCAGAAAAGUCUUGCCUCAAUGUAUGUAUAAUAUAGUUACUUUUUGAAACUUACUAUGAUUGUUGCAUUUAGGAACUUAAUUUCUUUGUUCUUUUGAUGCAGGAUAGAGCAAGGCGCUUGCUUUCCAAGCCUAUCAAGUUUUACUAUGAAAUGCAGGAGUUAUUCACAGUCACUAGUGCUGAUGGUUCUUUGGCCAUGGACCAGCAUACAUGCACAAUUGAUUCUGAUGACUUGGACAGUGAUGAAGGGUUGUAUGACCUUAACAGCUAUCCACAAUAUGAGGGGCCACUUGAGGAGGAUUCUGAUACUUUGCCAACAACAUAUGUUCCUAAAAGGCCUCAAAUUCCUGUAGGUGGUGAUAAUUCCUCAUCUAGCACUAGUCGUGUUGGUACGAAGCGCCCAAGAGGUAGCAGGUCACCUACUAAGAAGCCAUCAAAAACCAAGAGUCGUUUCGUGGAGUCCGCUGAGGAAAUCAACUCCACAUUGAGAUCACUCCAGCAAUCACUUAUUGCCGCUCCUCCUCCCCAAAUGCCCCAAGUUGUUGACCCUUAUGCUAGUUUAUGGCAGAGGUUGGAGGUACUCCCAAUUACCACUGAUCAGAGAAUUACUGUUGGUGUGCACUUAUCUUCCAAGGACAAUGAAGGUUUGCGUAGUUGGUUAUGUAGUGCAAGCGACAAAACUUUUGAAACUUGGGUCUGGAAGUUCUUUAACAAAGAUGACAUUUAGAAGAUAGCAACCUAUGAAGUUUGCAAGUUUCUCACUUGUGAUGUUUAGAAGAUGGCAACUUGUGAACUUUAGAAGAUGACAACUUUUGGUAAUUAGGACAUGAUAACGUGUGAUGUGUCUGCUCACUACUUUUGGGAGUUGAACUUGUGCUAUGACCAUUGCUUUUGGGAAGUGGAUCUUUUGAUGUGUAGUGUAACACUUUAUUGUAACUUGGCUGAAACUUGUGAUAUAUAUGGCUAGAACUAUUACUUUGUGACAUUGUUCUUGAAAACAUCAUUUCGCGACUUUAUGAAUGAUGCUUGAAACUUGCAUGCAUCUAUCUUAUUUUGUAUCUUUAUACUGAUUGGGGUUGCUUAUUUUUACGCUGAUGGGAUUAAUAGAAAUUCUCGAAUCUAUUUUUUAUUGUUAUUAUUGUUGUGACUAAAUAUUCUUACAUUUAUUAGAGCAUGCUAUAUAUGUGUUUUUUGCCAUAUGUGGUAGGAAACCAAACACAGACCACAGUUUUUUGCCAACAUAUGUGGAAGCAAUCCAAACGGACACCACACAAAAUUUGCCACACCUAACCUAAGGCAUGGCUACCAACCAAACAAUUUGAUUUUGCCACAUAUUGGGGCAAGCCACAGGUGUGGCUGGCACCUCACCUUAGGCAUGGCAUUUUAAGUCUCCAACCAAACAGCCCCGUAGUGUCCCUACCUGGUUGUGUGACGCUUUACCCAUAUCAAGCGGUUGGCCAUGCAGAUCUCAUCCAUGACUACUUUGUGCCAAAUCCCCUGCAAUCACGCAUAUAUUCCGGGCCGAAAACUAUACAAGUAAAAAGAUUAUAGGCCGAAAACUAUAAAUAAGAUUACAUGAGAUGAGAAAAAAGGACGCCCAAGACAAGGCCCUGCCUAGCUAGCAGACCGAAGGACGAAUCCAUAGGAGGCACAAGUAGAUCUGGAGUGUUGUCGAAGGAUCACAAUACCAUGACUAAGCAAGCAACCUAACGCACCGCACCAACGUGCAUACCAAACCUCACGACACAACUCAGCAGCAACGAUAAUAAACGAGUGACAACACGAACCUUGUCUGGGGGCUUCGCCUUGAUAAUUCCAAACGAUUAGCAAGUUGGGGAGGCAUCUCACGUCAUCGAAGAGUAAAAAUGUACCAGGAAAACACCAAGAGCACUAAGCUCACCGCAACACAAUGGCCACCAAGGGAGGAACUUGAACAUGCAUAGCAACAUGGCCCAUACCAUGGAAAACCACCCAAGAUGGACACAUAGGAAGCAGGGCAGCAGCAACACAAACCACCGUCGACCCCAAUCGGCCGCACCACCACCAACAAUAGUCCGACAACAAGAAACACCCGCACAACAACCAUGUUGACCUCAAAGAUGAUGCCUGCAAGAAGGGUUGCGACGCUGGUUGCGUCGCCAUCAUUCGUACAGGACGACCUGGACUUGGGUUUCCCCCAGGAUCUCGACGAGGAGGGUGCAAACAACAAAAACAAUGACGCCUCCAAAGAGGUUAGCGGUGCCCACAGGUGUCGCCGCCGUCGCCUCCAGGUGGAGCAAGGCUUUCUCCCAAGUUGAUCUGACACACUCCCGAAGAUCGGUUGAGUGAGGUGGGAGCCGAUCUGCACCACCACAAGACACCAUGGCCGCCCCGACGUUGCCCAUGGUCAGGUUCAGACCACCGUAGGCCGGAUCCGGCAGAUCCUACCCACACACGUUGGGCUUGCCAGAUUCAAGCAUUCUGGGCCAACCCCACACCGCAGCCCCCCACCCCCACCCCACUCCUGCACACGACGAGGCAGAGCAGCCACCAUAGCCAGCCGCACCGAAUGGAGAUCACCGAUGGCCAGCCCGACCGCAUCCAGCCGCAGCCUACCCAUGAACAGAGGCCGACCCCGGCCAGCUGCAGCCGCACCAAGGGACGAGAUGUCGUACCUUCAUAUCUCAUGAGUAAGAAAGCCUCCCGAUGCGGCCAGAAACCACCAAGGCCUCGCCGCACGAGCGGCCGAGGGGCCUAGCCACCAGCACCAACAGCGGCCUCCUUCCAUCGUCGUCGUCUUGCCACCCGGGACCACUGCCCCCGCGAUCGCUUCCCUCCGCGUGAGAAACAGAGAGGCGAGAUCCCCCCGCCACCGUCACCGGCAGCCACGCGGGCUUGCCCGACAACCUCCUCAGGUGGGGGCGAGCUAGAGAAGGGGAGGAAGGGGUGGCAGCGCGCGGAAACCCUAGUCGUCGCCCGAGCUGACGACGCAGGGGCCGAGCGUGAUGAUAUUUCUCGAAUGUAUAUAUAAUUUUUGUAUCAUUCAUGCUACAUUGUUAUCAAUUUCAUACCCUUUUGGCAUAAUUUUUAUCUAAGUGUUCUUUUUUCUCAUGACCCACACAACACAAUCAAGCAAAUACAUGGUGUACCAUGCACAGUCAUGGUGACUUUAAUUUUACACAUCAAGAGCAGACUUAAGGUAGCUCGGAUGAUUAGCUUGUGGUGGAACCAAUCCAUCACGGUUCAAGUCGUAUACUUGGCAUUGAUAAUUGUAUUUUUCUUGUAAUUAUUCUAGGCCCUCCGGUGUCGGCGAUGUGCAUUCAUACAGUGGGAAGAGACUUUUCUCUCGACUACUAAAGCGUGUGUGACGAUUUCGUCAAUCUCAAGAUGAUGUACCGGCUCAGUUUUUUAAAGAUGCUCACAGGGGUAGAAUCUACGUAUGUGUGUUGAUAGGGGCGAAUGUAUGUGUAUAUGUAUGAACAAACUAUGCACACAAAGCAACAUGUGCGUCCGCAUGCAGGAAAAAAGGGGUCCAUUGUCCUUUUCACGUGAUUUCCCUCGCAAGCCGCUCCAUGUUUCAGCUUUCUAAAUGUGACUAAACAAGCUACCAAGUGGUUAAUAAAGUCGGUCUUUAUCGAUGCUUGCCUUGACUGGCUACGCUGGAAUAUUUGGGACAGAGGACCCGUAUGUACGUACGUUAUGUACAUGUGUCAAUCCUAUCUUUACCCGGUAGUAUAACGUGAAUCAUGGCAUGGUUGCCUAUUGUAUUGGAGUAGGUGAGUCGCCGCGUAGGCCGUCGUCGGCGGUGUAGCUCAUGACCAAUGCAAACAUACCCUUUCUUCACAGAAUUAGAACUCAAAUUUAGCAGUCAAGGCCACACAACUUUUUGACAUAUACUCCACUCGUAAAUGGAAGCACCACUAGCCUUUUAUUUAGACGAAAGCAAACGGCCUACAACAAACAUCCAGCGAAGCAGCAUCGAAUCCCACUAGGUUUAUAAUUCUUCAAAACAUGAUUUUCCCGAGAGCUUACUCAAUCCACCUCGUAAGACAUGCAUGCCUUGGCCAUAAACCGACAGGGAGACAUGAUUGCACACGCGCUCAUGGAGCAUACCCCAGCUGCAAGUUUGCAAAGCGUAUAAAAUAGGAACAUGUUUGAGCUCAACAAUCAUAUGUCAUGAAUAAUUACUUUAUGAUUCAGCUUUUGAUGGUUGCAAAGUAUAAUUCAUAGUUCUAUAUUGUUCUCUGUUAUACUCCGUCUAUGCCUAAAUAAUUGUAGUUGGACAGAACUAAACUAGUUCUUCCAACUACAAUUAUUUUGAUACAGAGGGGGUAUUAACCUACUCAUCUUCCUGAGUUUAAACAAAUGAACGAUGAAUGUAGUUGUGUGCAUUGGAUCUAGUAGAUCCAUAUUUUCCGCGUAUUUUUGAGACAGUGAGAGAAGAAAAGUCUUGCCUCACUAUGGAUAAAAUGAUUGCUCGACUUUUUUUCAUAUGUACCACCUGUGGUGUGAGGAAUACAAUUUUCAACUUGUGUUGUUUGGUUUGGGCGGGUAAGGGUACCGUUCAGAGCAUGCCUCUUGGUAAGUACCAUUGCAUGUCUUCCACUAUGGAAAUAAGGAUCUGUGUGGUCUCGGUUGUUACGAGUCCUAGUAUGGGUGCACCCGUCCAUACCCCUGCCGUAUGACAUUCGGGGGAUACCUCGACUGGUUAAGAUAACAUCGCGUGCACUUGUGUUCAGUACCGGUGCUCGGUUUUCUUCCUAUAUCUAUAGAACUGUGUAGCAUCCUCUUGAUAUCCAGUGGAUGACAUAUGUGCAACAAAAAUACAAGGAGAUGUGCAGCAAAAAAACAAGGAGGUGUGGAGCAAAAUCAAUAUUGUGAUAGUCUGUCUUAAUAGGGAUGAUAGACUACUCAUAUCAAUAAUGAAUUCCUUCUUUUCUAGGAUCCUAUUUGGAAAGAACUCUAAAGUUAAGUUUGUUCAUCUUGGAGUAAUUUCAGGAUUACUGACCGACUGGGAAGCUGGUCCCAGGUGCGAACGAGUAAGGACAAAGUGUGCAGAAAAGACUAGUGUUGAUGUGUCAGGCCAAUAAAGAUCCUGUCAGGAUUUACGGCUAAUAACCGAUGCGUGUGUCCGGGGCAUUACACUUAUGGUGCAUCGUCAUUGUGUAAUAAAAUAAGUGCUCACCAUUGAGCAGGAGCUGAUGCACUAAGUGUGGUGUAAGAUCAAAGUUGAAUGUGUUACAGAACCACAAAAAAAUGUUUUGGAAUUGGAAUGGAACAUUGAUGAACUUUUAUGAACCAGUUCUUAUCGAUGUAAGUUUCAUGUAGUUUUGGUUUGUGUUUCGGUAAAUUUUUAUAAAUUACAAAUAGUGAAUGUAACUUUAUGGAACCAUUAUUUUUCAUAGAUGCAAGUUUCAUAUAACUUUUGGUGUCUUAUGUUCUGCCUUCAUGGUUUCUUGUACUUUUGGUACAUGUUUGGAUGUCAUCAUGGUGGUUCGAGACCCACUCGAGAUAUUUCAUUAGUUUGUACAUGGUUACACUAUUUCAUAUCGAUUUUUAUGUAUUUUAGAAUAGUUUGAGUUCCUCUUGCGUUUAUGUUAAAGUUGCACUUAGAUUUGUUGGAAAUUAAUUGAAACCACAACAAAAACUUUGUGUAACAUAAGAAAACAAAAGUGGUCAUUGUCAGAACGGAAAAGGACUUGAUUUUUUUUACAAAGAGUAUAUAUUAAUAUCGAGUAGAUAUCAAUUACACUCAGGCUCUGCAACAACGUAAUGCCCUAAUGGCAUGACGAAUGCACACAGCCAAAAAACAAAAAAAUAACUAAAAAAGAAAAGUCUCGCUACAGAGUUUCAGUACUUGCAACAGCAGCACAACCAUCACCAAGACAACACCUGAUGUUCAAGUACUCCAAAAACGACGCCUCCAAGAAGGAAACAGUGCACAAGCACCGUCGUCGCCCGGUCGUAAAUCUUGAGUUUUCACCCUGGAGAUAAUGCCCGCUCUCCAGCAAUGUCUUCAAUAAGACCAUUGCCAGGCACAACCAAUUAAGGCAGACCUUGCAUUUUCAUCCUGAAAGGUAGGGCCUUGAACUUCACUUGUGAUGUCACCCCCACUUACAUACCACUGCUACGAAUCCUGAAACUCCUAGCAAAUUCCUCAGCGCCGUAGGCUAUAAUCCCCAGUACUAGUCCUUUAAUCUUGGCUUUCAUGACAUUCUCCGCCUCUGACUUUACCAUAUAGUAAGAUAUCUCCUGAUGGAACCAGAUAGCAGAGCUUCGCGCCGCUCUCUCCUUAAUGGAGAACCAAUGGCACGACCGAAUUCCACCCGAUCCAGCAAUCUUCAGGCAUAACACGCCCAUGGGAGUUCGCCGGCGAAGCCUUCCGGAACCCGCCGCUCCGACCAGAUCAGAAAAUUCGUGUAUCGGGCAGAUCUUCGUCUUGGCGCAAGAGGAACACUAGGAUUGUCGCAUUUAUUCAAGCACGCCAGCAGGCCCCACCAUUGCCAUAGGUUUGCAUUACCUUCGGCCAUGACCGCCCGUCCGUCCCUGUCAACCUAUCCACGCCUCCCUUCGGUGCGUCGACAGACGCCGCGCAUGGAAAAGGACUUGAUAGAUUAAAGUUGGACCAAUCUGAAGGAUAUGAUUACUUAGAAAACAUGUGUAUGAAUCUCACAAAAAUGAAUGGUCUAGACUCCAGAUAGACAGGGACGGGAACUUGUAUCUUUUUUGAAGGUAAAGGCCCAAGGUUUGAGUUGGUCAAACCGUUUGUGCUAUGGUCACACAAUAUUAUUCUCGGCCGGCCGGCCGGCCGGAGCAUGUCGUAAGGUAAUGUUGCUUCCAAGCAACCCACGUUAGCUAAGAAUAACUUUACUACUAGUUAGAGAGACCCAGCGCUCAGUUUCGUCUUGCACCGCUGCUUCUUUAUAUACACUUGACGACGGACCACUAUCCUUCAACACAAGCAGCUAGCUAGCAAGUCUCCAAGCUUGGUGAGAGAGGGAGAGAAAGAAGGAGAAGGAUGCUAGAGAUGAAGGCCUGCACGGCCAUAGCUCUGGUGCUCGUUGUAGCAGCACAAUGUGCCGCCCUGGCCACCGCCGCCGGUCCCAGAGUCAUCAUCGUCGGCGCCGGCAUGUCCGGUAAGCCAUACGCUACACACAUGCAUCAUGCAUUUUGCAUGAUAUAUACAUGAUUGCGGGAGGCUGGUUUGAGUGUACAUGUAACGGAUGCAAGUUCUUGUGCUUUGUGUUCUUAGGGAUCUCUGCUGGGAAGAGGCUGUCCGAGGCUGGGAUCACUGACCUGGUGAUCUUGGAGGCGACGGACCGCAUCGGAGGGCGCAUCCACAAGACCAAGUUCGCCGGGGUGAACGUUGAGAUGGGGGCCAACUGGGUGGAAGGGGUGAACGGAGACGAGAUGAACCCCAUCUGGACCAUGGCCAAUGGCACCGGAGGUCUCAACCUGAGGACCUUCCGCUCCGACUUCGACCACCUCGCCAGCAACACCUACAAGCAAG
rnacentral:lncRNA from 1 species